UAGUCCAAAAGGAAUGUCCCUUGAUACCAUAAACAAAAAAUACCAUGUCUGCUUUUUAUUCAAUAAUAAUAAUACAAAGAUGACUGAUCCAAACAAUUUUAAGCUCAAACACAAUGUUAUAAGGUAAGAUAAGAACUAAUGUCACAAUAUUACAGGUAAAUCGUUUUUUUUCUUCCUGUUUUUCAAUUUUUAUCACUAUAAUAUUUUCUAUUCCAAAUCUUUAAGAUCCUCAUCCAUUGGUAUGGUAUAGAAGAAGUGUUCAAUUUGCUCGACUGCAUUAUCCUCGCCCUGUGUCUUGUUUCCUCUCUUUAUUGGAGCUAGGCUCUCCUUGUAAUUGAAAACCCAACAGCCAGCAAUGUUAAGGUCCAGCUGAAAUCCAAGAUCUGUAACUUGUCUUGUUGUAGGGUCAUAUAGCACCAGCUGUGAAGUUUCUGUGAUCUCAAAAACCAUGUUAUCGUUAUCCCAGAUGUUGCGAGGCCAAUGAGCAUCUAUAUGAGGUUGUACAGUUAGAACUUUGGACCAAAUUCCCUCUUGUUCAUACCCACACAUCAUAUAUGGAUGUCAUAGGUUUGCCAGGGUCACCGGUUAAUAAAGCAAGUGAGUUGCCACGCAAUGUAAGCGUCCCCCAAUGUUCACUUGGAAUAUCUGGGACUUGCAUCUCCCUAAACUGUUCGCUGCCCAUGUCAAAAGAGCGAAUCGUGUAGAUCUCAUCAAGGCCCCUAGAAAGCCAAUAAUAAACCCCGUUGAGAUAAGUGGCAUCAAGGGGUGCAGAUAAGGUAGAACUGGAAGGGAAUUCAGGAGUUAGGUGUUUCCAUGAGUUGUUGCAUGAGGAAUAAACACAGGCAUAGACACGAGGACAAACACCUUGUCCCGGUUCAUCCCAGAAUACUCGAAUCCAUACAACCUUAUAAUCUUGAGUCAACAGGUCAAAUCCCAAUCCGAACUGAUGAUCAUGGUCCGAGAAAAAGUACUCAAUCUCAAAAGGCGCAGGCGGCAGAGACCUGAACUCUCUGGUGGCAGGAUUCCACAAACCCAAGCAGACAUUGUCUCCAUAAAACUUCUUCUGCACUAAGAAUAAGCCAUCAACUGGACCAGCAACACACGUGAAAUCAGCGACCCUCGGAAGCUGAAGGAGAGUUUUUUGUUCAGGGGUCACACCUGGAACAAUUUCUUCAGGGAGCAAGGAGAAUACAACAGACCUUACGAUGGCGUCUACUUCACGUGCUACUUUCAAGUUGCAAACAAGGAGACGGGCACGAUUGUUCUUGUGAUGAAAAUGUUUUUCUAUGAAACUCGGACUUUUGAUGAGAGCAUACCAGUGCUUGCACACACAUUUGAAAAGCAAGAGUGAUUCCACUGGCAAUCUCAAUAGAAUAUCAACUACUAGAUCUUCUGGUAAAGGACAGCGACCAUCCAUACUGGUGGAAAUAUAAGUAGAAUGAGGCAACUUACAAACAUAUUGAAAGAGAGCAGAUCUAGAAAACAUGCAUUAAUAGAACACACAGUGCAACAAAAAAGAUCAAGUAGUAGCAUUACCAUGUGAAGCAAAAAAGGGGAAGUUACAAAUUUGACCACUCAGCCACAAAUAUUUACAUCCGCAAGCCAUUACACAUAUAUUAUGGGUAUACAUAUUUUUAAAAAUAUUUUGACAAAUCUUCUUGUAGAUCAAUUUUGGAGAAAAGAUCCAAAAUAGUUCCUUAUGUUUGGCUUCAGACUCAAGGUCAUCCCUUCCCUUUCUUUUAUAUGGUGCACUAAUAGUCCUUUAAGUUUCAAGUAUUAGUGCACUUUUAAUCUCUUCAUUAACAUCCAUUUACUCAUUAACGUUUUGAUCCUUUACACAUCCAUUUAUGGCCUCCGCUGUAUACGUUCUGGUAUAACACAAAUUAAUUCUUAGAUUUAUCUUAGCAGUUGCAGAUGAGUCUUCAUUUGUACUUGUUUUAUUUUUUGGCUCUGCAUCUUUCAUUGUUUGGUGUGCACCAUUCAAGAUUUGCUAAUUCUUUAACUUUCUCCUCUAUUUUCCAUACGCAAUUAAUAAGCUGACUAUAAGUCUUUGGGUUUUCCUGAAUAAAAGCUGACUAUAUAUCUGAAACAUAACCAAAGAAUAAAAUAAAAACAAGAAAAAAGGAAAAAUAUAAUACAUACUUAGUCUUCGUGUAUCAAUAUCUCAAAUUAGCAUCGGAUAAAAGUGCACUAAUACUUAAAACUUUGGAGGACUAUUAGUGCACCAAUUGAUGAUUUCGAAUCUAAAGCCAAAAAUAAAGGACUAUCUUGUAUUUUUUCUUUCGAUUUGGGCUGAUAUGGUUUGGACGGAUCAAUAAUCAGCCAAAUAGAGUCAAUAAGAGGAGACUAGUAAAGAAGUAGUCAUGCGGUUUUCUAGUCUUUUCAUUAACUAGUCAAUAAUUAUUUUUAAAGCUACAUAUCAAGUUAGCAUAUAGAGCAAUUUUGCAGGUAAUUUAAGGAUUAAGGAGCAUGAAACAGUAAUUACCCUUUUCUACUAAUAUCAAUCUACAAAUCCUUGGAAAUGGAACAAUUUUAACUUGCCCAAUAUUGAAAUGUAAAAGAUGGAAAGAAAUAAAAAGAAUUAGCAUAAACAGAAACAAUGACAGCAAAACCCUAUAUCCAUCCCCAAAUAGCACAAAUUCAGAUUCAGAUUCAGAUUCAAAUUCAAAAAAAUAAUCAGAAAUCUAACCUUAUAAGCUGAUGAAGAAGAAGUGCCGCAAUUACGACAAGGUAAAAAUGGAAAAAGAGAUUGGAUUGAUUGAGUGGUGUUGUAGAAAUACCUCCAACAGUUGACUACUUCCUCACUUUCCUACACUUCUUUUGUCAUUUUAGUUUAUAUAACUCCCCUUAAUUCCUUUUAUCCAAGUUUUUAAUACCAAGGGAUAUGAUGGAGUAAUAAGUACUUAUUCAUUGUUAAUUAGAGGUCUUGGAUUUGAAUCUUUUGGCUAUGAAGUCAUCCGUGUUAGGGAGCACUUUACCCAUAAUGUGAGAUUUUUCGACUGGGCUCUAAUAUGGAUACCGAACAUUGAGCGAUUUUUCUUUUUUUACCUUAGUGGUCAUUUGGUAGGUGGAUAAAGCUACAUCUAAUACAUGAAUCACUACAAGAAAAGUGCUGAUUACCUGGGAAUUAUUGUAGAGAAUAUAUGAUAACCCUAAUGGGUGGAGGGAGGACCAAUUUAUAGAGGUUAUGAUUUAAUCUGGUAUAUCCAUCAAGUAACCAAUGUACGGACGAGAUCUAUUCCUUAUUAAAUAUUAUUUAUGGUAUUACUUGCGUUACUAGUAAACUUGAGCCAUAAGUAAGAAAUAAUUAAUAAUAAUUAAUAAUAAUUCUUACACUUCGGGGUGCCUUCGCCAUAGUUCAAGUCUGGAGUCGGCCAUUUCAGUUCUUGAAAGCUUUUAAUCUAGCUAGUGUUAUUCAUAGUACUUCCGUGUACUUAUCGACCUUAUGUGAGUCCAAACUCGUUUGAGUUAUACAUUUACUUUCUAAUUGUGCACGAGUAUACAUACUUUCUAGGCUUAUAGAGGUCCAGUUAGGUUAUAGAUUAUUGCUUUACUUUACUACUUCGUUCUUUUCAGACUCGUGAGCUAUAUAGUUAGACUUUCCGUUAUUGCUUUGUUCAUUUGACCUCUAAUUACUGUUACUUUCAUAUUCUUCAUAUUGUUUUUACUUUCCAAGUUCAGUUGACCUAUGAUGCCUACUGGACACCUGUUGUUCUGAUAUUCAUGCUACACUCCACAUCUGUUUUCUUGAUGUGGAUUUGAGCGCCAGCCGACAACGGUGAUUGGAGCCUAAGUAAUGCGGAGAUCUUCUGAGAUGAAUGGUGAGCUAAUGGCGUCCUAGUUCGACUUAUCUCCAUAUGUAUAUAAUUUUUUACAUGUCUUUUGUAUUCGAGACAAAUUUAUUAAGUUAGUCAAUAGCAUAGGCUCGAAACUAUGACUAGAACAUUGAGUGCAUGACAUGCACAUCUUACUCCUUACUUUCCUUAUUCGUGCCUGUUUUUUUCAUACUUUCUAACUUUCACUAGUACAUUAUCCCUUGUUAAGGAAAAUUAUGUAAACAAAAUAGUAAAUGGCCUGAUCCACUUAAGAGUGAGGGCUAGUUCAUUGAUUGAUACAGCUAAAUCACAUUAAAUAAUAAAUACGGAGGAGGGCCUAAAAUACCCUUCAAGUAUAGGUAAUGGAACAAAAAUACCCUCUUCCACCUUUAGGCUCCAAAAUACCCUUCCAUCCAUCUAUAUGGACCUAUAUUACCCUUUCACUUAACAGAUUCUUUAAGACUAAUAAUUAAUCUUUUCAUUAAUGAUGUGACAGUCUUUAAUUGGUUGAAAUUGGAAUUAACCAAAAUAAGAAUUUCUCUUAAUUAAACCCAGAUCCAACUAAAUUCCACCCGACUCACUUAAAAUUCUAUUGACCCAUAUCUUAAAUAAUCAAACUUCAAUCAACAACUUGCUCCAGUUAUUUUUAAUCCCAGUCAAAAAAGAGGUACAUUAGACCAUAAACAACAUGAAACUUCCGAAAAUUCCCUGGAAACAUUCCAAGAAGGAAGAAGUGAAAUACAAGAUCAAGUGCCACUAUAAUCAUAUACCAAUAUACACCAUAUUUUGAAACACUAUGAAAAGUCCAGCAAAUCUCCAAUCUCUGGGAAACAUAAACUCAAAGCGGUAAAAUUUCUCAAAAUCCGAAACCCUAGAGUUCAAAAAUUAUUUCACUUCUUUCUUUUUUGCGAUUCAUAUAAAGCACCGCACGCAAAAAGCAAAACCAACAUAAUUUUGGGAAAUUCUCAAAGCAGAAUCAUGGAAUAGAAUAUAAAAAAAAAAUAAAAAAUUUAGCCAUAGCAAGAGAUUAUAUACUUGAUGAAGAAAAGCGAUAGAUAUCGCUUUUCUUCAUCUGCAAAUUUUACGAGAAAAUUAUAUGGAGAGAAAUUCAGUGUACAGAGAAAAAAAAGGAAACUCACCGCUACACACUCGAUUCUUCUUGUUUUUUUUUAAAGAUAUGGGUCAGUAAAAUUUUACGUGGGUUGGGUAGAGUUUAGUUGGAUCCGGGUUUGAUUUGGAGAAAUUAUUGUUUUUGCUUAAUCUAAAUUCCAGCCAAUUAAAGAUUGUCACAUCAUUAAUGAAAAGAUUAAUUAUUACUCAUAAAAAAUCUGUUAAGUGAAAGGGUAAUAUAGGUCCAUAUAGAUGGAUGAAAGGGUAUUUUUGAGCCCAAAGGUGGAUGGAGGGUAUUUUUGUUCCAUUCCCUAUACUUGAAGGGUAUGUUAGGCCCUUCUCCGUAAUAUAUAUUACAUUUUUGAACUGUUAAACUAGAAACAAGAUUUAGGAUUUUUCAAGUGGACCAAAAUACAGAUAUUGAUGCCGAGUACUUAAAGUCUGUUGCUUGCCGAUACUCUAAAAGUAGUAGUGUAUUUUUGGAGAAUCUAACAUGAGUGGAGAGUACACGCGCAACUUAGCUUAAAUUGUGUUGGUCCAAAAGGAAUGCCCCUUGAUACCAUAAACAAAAAAUACCAUGUCAGCUUUUUAUUCAAUAAUAGUACAAAGAUGACUGAUCCAAACAAUUUUAAGCUCAAACACAAUGUUAUAAGAAGACAAGAUACGAACUAAUGUCACAAUAUUACAGGUAAAUCGUUUUUUUUUCUUCCUGUUUUUCAAUUAUUAUCAUUAUAGUAUUUUGUAUUCCAAAUCUUAACGAUACUCAUCCAUUGGUAUGGUAUAGAAGAAGUGUUCAAUUUGCUCGACCUCGCCCUGUGUCUCGUUUCCUCUCUUUAUUGGAGCUAGGCUCUCCUUGUAAUUGAAAACCCAACAGCCAGCAAUGUUAAGGUCCAGGUGAAAUCCAAGAUCUGUAACUUGUCUUGUUUUAGGGUCAUAUCGCACCAGCUGUGAAGUUUCUGUGAUCUCGAAAACCAUCUUAUCAUUAUCCAAGAUGUUGCGAGGCCAAUGAGCAUCUAUAUGAGGUUGUACAGUUAGAACUUUGGACCAAUUUCUGUCUUGUUUCAUUACCCACACAUCGUAUAUGGAUGUCAUUGGUUUACCAGGGUCUCCGGUUAACAUAGCAAGUGAGCCGCCAUGCAAUGUAAGUGUCCCCCAAUGUUCACUUGGAAUAUCUGGGACUUGCAUCUCCCCAAACUGUUCGCUGCCCAUGUCAAAAGAGCGAAUCGUGUAGAUCUCAUCAAGGCCCCUACAAAGCCAAUAAUAAACCCCGUUGAGAUAAGUGGCGUCAAGGGGUGCAGAUAAGGUAGAACUGGGAGGGAAUUCAGGAGUAAGGUAUUUCCAUGAAUUGUUGCAUGAGGAAUAGACACAGGCAUAGACACGAUUAUUAGCACCUUGUCCCAGUUCAUCCCAGAACACUCGAAUCCAUACAACCUUAUAAUCUAGAGUCAACAGGUCAAAUCCCAAUCCGAACUGAUGAUCAUGGUCCGAGAAAAAGUACUCAAUCACAAAAGGCGCAGGAGGCAGAGACCUGAACUCUCUGGUGGCAGGAUUCCACAAACCCAAGCAGACAUUGUAUCCAUAAAACUUCUUCUGCACUAAGAAUAAGCCAUUAACUGGACCAGCAACACACGUGAAAUCAGUGAUCCGAAGCUGAAGGAGAGUUUUUUGUUCAGGGGUCACACCUGGAACAAUUUCUUCAGGGAGCAAGGAGAAUACAACAGACCUUACGAUGGGGUGUACACGUGCUACUUUCAAGAUGCAAACAAGGAGGCGGGCACAAUUAUUCUUGUGAUGAAAAUGUUUUUCUAUGAAACUCGGACUUUUGAUGAGAGCAUACCAGUGCUUGCACACACAUUUGAAACGCAAGAGUGAUUCCACUGGCAAUCUCAAUAGAAUAUCAACUACUAGAUCUUCUGGUAAAGGACGGCGACCAUCCAUACUGGUGGAAAUAUAAGUAGAAUGAGGCAACUUACAAACAUAUUGAAAUAGAAUAGAUCUAGAAAACAUGCAUUAAUAGAACACACAGUGCAACGAAGAAGAUCAAGCAGCAGCAUUACCAAUGUGAAGCAAAAAAGGGGAAGUUACACAUUUGACCACUCGGCCACAAAUAUUUAUAUCCGCAAGCCAAUACACAUAUUAUGGGUAAACAUAUUUUUAAAAAUAUUUUGACAAAAUUUCUUGUAGAUCAAUUUGGGAGAAAAGAUCCAAAAUAGUUCUUUAUGUUUGGCUUCAGACUCAAAGUCAUCCCUUCCCUUUCUUUUAUAUGGUGCACUAAUAGUCCUUUAAGUUUCAAGUGUUAGUGCACUUCUAGUCUCUUGAUUAACAUCCAUUUACUCAUUAACGUUUUGAUCCUUUACACAUCCAUUUAUGGCCUCCGCUGUAUACAUUCUGGUACAAAACAAAUUAAUUCUUAGAUUUAUCUUAGCAAUUGCAGAUGAGUCUUCAUUUGUACUUCGUUUUAUAUUUUGGCUCUGCAUCUUUCAUUGUUUGGUGUGCAGUAUUCAAGAUUUGCUAAUUCUUUAACUUUCUCCUUUAUUUUCGAUACACAAUUAAUAAGCUGACUAAGUCUUUGGGUUUUUCCUGAAUAAAAGUUUCUUGCGCUUUGCCUAUAUAUCUGGAGCAUAACCAAAGAAUAAAUAAAAACAAGAAAAAAGGAAAAAUAUAAUACAUACUUAGUCUUCGUGUAUCAAUAUCUCAAAUUAGCAUCGGAUAAAGGGUGUGUUCCGUAGAAAAUAGUUUCUAAUCAAAAUUUUUGGAAAAGAUUUUCUUAGGAAAACAAGUUCCAUACGUGACACUUCAAAAUUCAAAUGAAGAAAAUGACUUUCUAAAGGAAGUAGGGAAAACAAGUUUCAUAUGUGACAUUUCAAUUGAGUAUGUCCUCCCACUCUCUAAGACACCACAUAUUCACCUCACUCCCGUAGCUUCCAUACCCACUACCCUACACAUCUACCCCACCUCCGUCCCUCAUAGUAUUGUCUAGAUAAUACAUAAAUGCUUUUAGAAUAAUAUUAAAUUUUUUUUGCUUAUAUACCAAACACAAAAUAUACAUAAGAAUCUCACUUAUUUUCCUAGAAAAUAUUUUUCAAAAAAUAUUUUCCUUGGUACCGUACACACCCAAAGUUCCAAUGUCCUCGGAUAAUAUCAGCCAAAUAGAGUCAAUAAGAGGAGACUAGUAAAGAAGUAGUCAUGUGGUUUUCUAGUCUUUUCAUUAACUAGUCAAUAAUUAUUUUUGAGCUACAAAUCAAAUUAGCAUAUAGAGCAAUUUUGCAGGUAAUUUAAGGAGCAUGAAACAGUAAAUACCCUUUUCUGCUAAUAUCAAUCUACAAAUCCUUGGAAAUGGAACAAUUUUAACUUACCCAAUAUUGAAAUGUAAAAGAUGGAAAGAAGUAAAAAGAAUUAGCAUAAACAGAAACAAUGGCAGCAAAACCCUAUAUCCAUCCCCAAACAGCACAAAUUCAGAUUCAGAUUCAAAUUCAAAAUAAUAAUCAGAAAUCUAACCUUAUAAGCUGAUGAAGAAGAAGUGGCGGACAAGGAAAAAAUGGAAAAAGAGAUAUCGGAUCGAUUGAUUGGUGUUGUAGAAAUACCUCAACAGUUGACUACUUCCUCACACUUCUUUCGUCAUUUUAUUUUACUACUUCUUGGGAACGCGUUUGUUCCUCUCCUUUUUUUUUCUCGCGUGUGUUCCUUAUUAUUAUUAAAUUUUUAUAUACUAAAAAGUUGAGUUAUAAAAUAGAAAAUGCUGAAAUUAACAAUAGUAGUUUUAUCAUUUAUAUUUUAUUUACUAAAUAAUAAAAAAUAUAUACUGGAGCAUUUUUUGUUAACCUUCAUUUGUUGUUUCUCACUCUCUUUUCUUCUCAUGUUGAAAUUUGAUUGUGCAAUUACCUUCCUAUGAUAACAUCAAUCUUUGUGAAAUUGGUUCUUAAAAAGCAAAUUCAAAUUUUAAUUUUGGAAGUGUUUUUACAUAAUAGUGGAGAAUGAUUCUUCAUAUUCAACUUUUAAUUUUGAAUUGUAAUGAACAAUUACUAUUCAAAUACAAAUCUAGUUUAUUUUUAACCUUACAUUUAUUGAAUCUUUAAUGUGUACGUUAAUGAUAUAUAAUAAUUUAUUAAUUAGGUAUUUGAUUUAGUGUAGGGGCAAAAUGGUAAUUCAACUAUACACUUUCGAGUUUUCACUUUUAAUAAGUAAUUAUAAUAUAUACAAAAGAUUAAACCAUUUGAUAUUAAAAAAAUAUAUGUAUGAGUAAUAAUUAACAUUCAAUGGCAAAAGAAUGUAUCACAUUCUCAUAAACAAUAUCUCUAAGGCAAAAGUAGACAUUCUAAUUUGGACAAUUACUACUUAACUACUUAUGGGUUCAGCCAAUAAUCUGGAGAUAGGAGUUUGACAAUUUUUCAGCCAUAGUUAAAAUUCUACAUCAAUAAUAAAUAGCUUCUUAUCACAGUAAAUAGACAUUUGAAUAAUUAAUAUAAAUUGAGCAACACAAACUUUUCAAAAUGACUUAUUCUAGAUAUAUAAUAGGGAAAAGGGUCAAAAUUACCCCUCAGUUUUGUUUUAUUGGUUAACUUUAUCCUUACCAUUAAAAACAAGUUAUUUUUACCCCUGUCGUCAAUAAACUUAACAAAUAUACCCCUCCUUGAACGGAAACCCCCAAAUCAAUUGAAAUUACCCGAUUUUAAUUGAAAUUAUCCAAUUUCUUUUUUAACCCGAACUAGAACCCAACCCACUAAACUAAACAAAUUAACCCAUUUCCAAUCUUCUUCAUCUCAGUGUUCUUGGCUAAGUACCCUAAGAACACUCACAAUCUUUAUCAUAGCUAACACAUAAAUCCUACAUUGUCUGACAAAAUCAAUUGAAAAGGUUCGUUGGUUGAAUGUAUAACAAGUAAAUUAUUUUUGCUGAACAACAUCCCGCCUCUCUCUGUUGUGGGGUUCAGCGAAGAACAAGCCACAGAGCAAGUAAAUGGAAAAGUUUCAAUUUACACAUCAUCAUUCAAUCCAAUGAAGAAAACCAUUUCUAGGUACCAACCAAAUUACUUUUUGAUUUGUUGUCAGUAGGCUGCCCCUAAAUGUGUACCCAAUAGUACAUCUAAUUCUUCUUUACCUGGCUCGUAAAUCAAUUCAGUGGCCCUCCAUGAUUCUUGUAUGUGCACGUAAAAUUAAGCUACAAUGGAGGGGAGGUUUUUCUUUUCUCUAUCUUUUUAUUUGUUCAAAAUGUUUCCAAUAUAUCAUCAUAUUUGAUGAGUACUGGAUAUUUGAUGAUUACUGAUUUCUUGUAUGUAGCAAAUCAUGUGAUUGAACGACUGCAGUGUUUAGCCUAGGCAACCUUCAACAAACAAUUUGGAGAUAAAUAUCAGGUCUUUUCGAUUGAUUUUGUUAGACAAUGUAGAAUUUGUGUUAGCUAUGAUAAAGAUUGUGAGUGUUCUUAGGGUACUUAGCCAUGAACACUGAGAUGAAGAAGAUUGGAAAUGGGUUUAUUUGUUUAGUUUAGUGGGUUGGGUUCUGGUUCAGGUUAAAAAAGAAAUUGGAUAAUUUCAAUUAAAAUUGAAUAAUUUCAAUUGAUUUGGGGAUUUCCGUCCAAGGAGGGAUAUAUUUGUUAAGUUUAUUGACGGCAGGGGUAAAAAUAACUUGCUUUUAACGGUAAGAGUAAAAUCAACCAAUAAAAUAAAGUUGAUGGGUAAUUUUGACCCUUUUCUCUAUAUAACAUAUAUGGACAAUUUGAGGAAUGAAUGUUUCAACACAUGAAUAAUAGACUAAUAAGGUCAAUAGAUUAUACAUAUAAAUGAAAAGUUAAAUAAAAAUACAGCCUCAAAAUCACAUACUAUGAUCCAUCAUUUAUCUCCAAUUCGGUGGCCCAGUUUAUUUUAGGGUAUGGAUUCUUUUAUUUUUAAAAAAAAAACAUAUUUGAUUUUUCUCAUUUAGUUAUUCCUCUCCCUACUCAUAAAUAAUAAUCUCGAAAAAAUAUUUUUACUAAAGUAGAACACUCUAUCAAGAGCCAAAUAAACAUAUCAAAUUAACUAAUUAAUCUUUCAUCAAUUAUUGAUAGAACAUGAAUUGUAUAUCACUACUUUCUUCAUGUAGGAUACAAGAUAUUUCAAUAGAAAAACAAAAUCAUAAGAAAGCAUAUCAAAAUAUAAAAAAAGGACAUAUAAAAUACUUUGGCUGGACAAGGAGGAGCGGAUAAAAACAAAAGGAAAUUACUGCACAUACAAAAUGAUGAGCAAGAUUAGUUUUUUGCAGGAUAGUCUCUCAUCCUCCUCUUAUCAUUUACAUGAAAACCAUGCUAGGCAUUUUAUAGCAAUAGCUAGGAUGACCUUUGAGUAGAUAAUUAAUUUGCAUUAAUUUAGUUUAAUGAUUUUAGUCCAUAUCAAAUUUAUUUAAUGGAAAACUCUUCAAAUACUCUUGAUUUUACAGAAAAAGAGAAAUUGACUAUUAAUGUGAAUUUGAUUCAUGUACCAAUUUAAAUGAGUUUAAUCUAAGGAAGUGAAAAAAUCAUUAACAUUUUUAUUAAAACGAUACAAUUUAAUAUUUAAAUUAAAUAGUUAAAUAUUUUAUAACAUUUUAAUUUAUAAUAGGGGUAAAACGGUAAUUCAACUUUUAACUUUUUUUAUUCCCGCUUAUAGUAAUAUAUGAUACAACUCCUCUUAAUUCCUUUUAUCUAAGUUUUUAAUUAUGUGGUGGAGUAAUAAGUACUUAUUCAUUCUUAAUUAGAGGUUCCAGUUUGAGUCUUUUUGGCUAUAAAAUCAUCUCUGUUAGAGCGCUUUACCCAUAAUCUAAGAUUUUUCGACACAAAUUCAAAUUUAGUGAGGCUCUAAUAUGGAUAUCGAACACUGAGGGGAAAAUAAAAAUAAAAAUUACCUUAGGGGUUAUUUGGUAGGUGGAUAAAGCUACAUCUAAUACAUGAAUAACAAAGUUAUUUAUGUAUUUAAUUUAUAUAAUGUUUGUAUAAAAGUUAUUCAUAUAUUAACAAAGAUGUUUCUCUCUACGAUAUGUUCCCACAGGAGAAAGAGUUUGUUACUUGAAGAGGGGGGGGGGGGAUGUUGNNNNNNNNNNNNNNNNNNNNNNNNNNNNNNNNNNNNNNNNNNNNNNNNNNNNNNNNNNNNNNNNNNNNNNNNNNNNNNNNNNNNNNNNNNGAAGGGGGGGGGGGGGUAUUUGGAGUCUUUUAGCCACAGUUCGAAGCCCUGACAUAUCGAUCUCUUUUAGCCACGGUUCAAGGUCCCAACGUAUUUUGUUUUGCCACGGUUCAAGGUCCCGACGUAUUUUAUUUUGCCACGGUUCGAGGCCCCAUCAUAUCUCUAUUCGCCUUGGUUCGAAUCCUAACAUGUGGUUCAUUUGGGUUCUUCGGGGUGCCUUCACCAAAGUUCAAGUCUAGAGUCAGCCAUUUUAAGUUCUUGAAAGCUUUUAAUAUAACUAGUGUUAUUCAUAGUACUUCUGUGUACUUAUCAGGCUUAUGUGAGUCCAAACUCGUUUGAGUUAUUUACUUUCCAAUUGCGCACAGGUAUACAUACUUUCUGGGCUUAUAGGGGUCCAGUUAGGUUAUAGAUAAUUGUUUUACUUUACUACUUUGUUCUUUCCAGACUCGUGAGCUAUAUAGUUAGACUUUCCGUUAUUACUUUGUUCAUUUGACCUCUAAUUACCGUUACAUUCAUAUUUUUCAUAUUGUUUUUACUUUCCAUGCCCAGUCGACCUAUGAUGCUACUGGGCACCUGUUGUUUUGAUAUUAUGCUACACUCCACAUCUGUUUUCUUGAUGUAGAUUUGAGCGCCAGCUGAUAAUGGUGAUUCGAGCCUAAGAAAUGCGGAGAUCUUCUGAGAUGAAGGGUGAGCUGAUGGCAUCCUAGUUCGACUUAUCUCCAUAUGUAUAUAGUUUUUUAAUGUCUUUUGUAUUCGAGACAAGUCUAUUAAGUUAGUGAAUAGCAUAGGCUCGAAACUAUGACUAGAACAUUGAGUGCAUGACAUGCACAUCUUACUCCUUAUUUUCCCUAUUCGUACCUGUUUUUUUCAUACUUUCUAACUUCACUGGUACAUUAUUCCUUGUUAAGGAAAAUUAUGUAAACAACUAGUUCUUUGAUUGAUACAACUAAUUCACAUUAAAUAAUAACUAGAAUCUUAUUACAUUUUUGAACUGUUAAACUAGAAACAAGAUUUAGGAUAAGGGAACUAUUUAUUAACUUCACUUCUCCUUAUUAGUGUCAAAAGUUUCUCGUUUAGGAAAUAUGAAGUUUUGAAGGACUAAUAGUAUAUUAUCCUUUUUUAAAAUUGAACUCUAUCCAAUGGUUGAUUCUAUUUAUGAAUCAAUUCCUUAGGUGCAUUAUUUCCAUAGGUUUCAACAUUGGUAACAAAAUCUAGCUUUCUCGCUUAAAUUGACAUAUUUCUAUACUUCCCUCAUCUUAUCUAUCACUGAGGCCGCUCCCAUCUUAUCCCUUAUAUCCUUAUUUAUAAUUUUUAUCGCUCCGAGUAUGAACGUGCAUCCACCUCAAUAUAUAUUCACAUCUCUGCAACAUGCAUCUUCUAGACAUGGGACUUGACUGGCCAACUCUCAUUUCCAUACAACAAUUACAUACACACUCUAUAUAAAUACACACAUACAUAUAUUGAUGGAAAAAUCAUCAACAGAUGAAACUUAAGCAAUACUCCCUCCAUCUCAAUUAAUGUGACAGUCGGAAUUUUGUCUUUUAAAUUGUUAAUUAUUGUGAUUUACCAUUUUUCACAUAAUUUUCAAAUACAUAAAUUUUAUAUCAAAAAAACUUAAAGUUUCUGUAUCCGAAUUUACUAUUAAAUUAUAGAAGUUUGAAUCUCAAAAUUUCAACUAAUGCCACAUAAAUUAAAUCAACUCCAACACUCAGAAAAGCUACAAAAGUUCAAACAUAGAAAGUAAAAAAAAAUUUAAAAAAGAAAUAGAAAAAACCUUGAGAUAAUAUGUCUUGCUAAUUUCCUCUUCAGAUGCUAAUUAAAGGACUUACACCAAGAACAUCAUAAUACUCUGUGUCUUUCACCAUUUUCUUUUCUUUUUCCAAAAUCCCUAUUAACAAAAAAUUUACUCUUUUACCUCCUCCAAUACUCUAAUUACCUUUUUUUUCGCGCUUCUAAAAUCUUAAUACAAGAGCGAAAAACCACUUGAGUGUAAGGAAAGGAAACAAGCCAAACGAAAAAAAAAAAAAAAACUCUCAAAAUUAUAUGAUCAAGAAAACUUGCAAGUACAAAAGGAGAAAGAGGAGGGGGUGGGUGGGGUAUGAUGAAAAGAAUGUCUCAGAAUAAGAGAGUGCCCCAACGAGACAAAGCUGCCUUUCCAGUUCUGAUCAACAAAUUAAUUACGGAAAAUCUGUUGCUUGUCGAUACUCUAAAAGCAGUGUAUUUUUGGAAUUAAGAGGAGUUGUAUAAACUAAAAUGACAAAAGAAGUGUAGGAAAGUGAGGAAGUAGUCAACUGUUGAGGUAUUUCAACAACACCACUCAAUCAAUCCAAUAUCUCUUUUUCCAUUUUUACCUUGUCGUAAUUGCGGCACUUCUUCUUCAUCAGCUUAUAAGGUUAGAUUUCUGAUUAUUUUUUUGAAUCUGAAUCUGAAUCUGAAUUUGUGCUAUUUGGGGAUGGAUAUAGGGUUUUGCUGCCAUUGUUUCUGUUUAUGCUAAUUUUUUUUAUUUCUUUCCAUCUUUUACAUUUCAAUAUUGGGUAAGUUAAAAUUGUUUCUUUUCCAAGGAUUUGUAUAUUGAUAUUAGUAGAAAAGGGUAAUUACUGUUUCAUGCUCCUUAAAUUACCUGCAAAAUUGUUCUAUAUGCUAACUUGAUAUGUAGCUCAAAAAUACCUAUUGACUAGUUAAUGAAAAGUCUAGAAAACCACAUGACUACUUCUUUACUAGUCUCCUCUUAUUGACUCUAUUUGGCUGAUUAUUGAUCCGUCCAACCCAUUUCAACCCAAAUCGAAAGAAAAAAUCCAAGAUAGUCCUUUAUUUUUGGCUUUAGAUUCGAAAUCAUCAAUUGAUGCACUAAUAGUCCUCCAAAGUUUUAAGUAUUAGUGCACUUUUAUCUGAUGCUAAUUUGAGAUAUUGAUACACGAAGACUAAGUAUGUAUUAUAUUUUUCCUUUUUUCUUGUUUUUAUUUUAUUCUUUGGUUAUGCUCCAGAUAUAUAGGCAAAGCACAAGAAACUUUUAUUCCGGAAAAACCCAAAGACUUAUAGUCAGCUUAUUAAUUGCUUAUGGAAAAUAGAAGAGAAAGUUAAAGAAUUAGCAAAUUUUGAAUGGUGCACACCAAACAUUGAAGAUGCAGAGCCAAAAAAUAAAACAAGUACAAAUGAAGACUCAUCUGCAAUUGCUAAGAUAAAUCUAACAAUUAAUAUGUUUUGUACCAGAACGUAGACAGUGGAGGUUAUAAAUGGGUGUGUAAAGGAUCAAAACGUUAAUGAGUAAAUGGAUGUUAAUGAAGAGACUAAAAAUGCACUGACACUUGAAACUUAAAGAACUAUUAGUGCACUAUAUAAAAGAAAGGGAAGGGAUGACUUUGAGUCUGAAGCCAAACAUAAGGAACUAUUUUGAAUCUUUUCCAAACAAUGUUAAGCUCAAACACAAUGUUAUAAAAAGGUAAGAUAAGAACUAAUGUCACAAUAUUACAGGUAAAUCGUUUUUUUUUCCUGUUUUUCAAUUUUUAUCACUAUAAUAUUCUGUAUGUCAAACUCUAAGAUCCUCAUCCAUUGGUAUGGUAUAGAAGUAGUGUUCAAUUUGCUCGACUGCAUUAUCCUCACCCUGAGUCUCGUUUCCUCUCUUUAUUGGAACUAGGCUCUCCUUGUAAUUGAAAACCCAACAGCCAGAAAAGAUAAGGUCCAGCUGAAAUCCAAGAUCUGUAACUUGUCUUGUUUCAGGGUUAUAUAGCACUAGCUGUGAAGUUUCUGUGAUCUCGAAAACCAUCUUAUCGUUAUCCCAGAUGUUGUAAGGCCAAUGAGCAUCUAUAUGAGGUUGAAGAGUAAGAACUUUGGACCAAUUUCCCCCUUGUUUCAUUACCCACACAUCGUAUAUGGAUGUCAUUGGUUUGCCAGGGUCACCGGUUAAUAUAGCAAGUGAGCCGCCAUGCAAUGUAAGCUUCCCCCAAUGUUCACUUGGAAUAUCUGGGACUUGCAUCUCCCCAAACUGUUCGCUGCCCAUGUCAAAAGAGUGAAUCGUGUAGAUGUCAUCAAGGCCCAUAGAAAGCCCAUAAUAAACCCCGUUGAGAUAAGUGGCGUCAAGGGGUGCAGAUAAGGUAGAACUGGGAGGGAAUUCAGGAGUAAGGUGUUUCCAUGAAUUGUUGCAUGAGGAAUAGACAUAGGCAUAGACACGAUUAUUAGCACCUUGUCCCGGUUCAUCCCAGAACACUCGAAUCCAUACAACCUUAAAAUCUUGAGUCAACAGGUCAAAUCCCAAUCCGAACUGAUGAUCAUGGUUCGGGAAAAAGGCCUCAAUCUCAAUAGGCGCAGGAGGCAGAGACCUGAACUCUCUAGUGGCAGGAUUCCACAAACCCAAGCAGAUAUCGUCUCCAAACUUCUUCUGCACUAAGAAUAAGCGAUCAACUGGACCAGCAAGACACGUGAAAUCAGUGAUCCUCGGAAGCUGAAGGAGAGUUUUUUGUUCAGGGGUCACACCUGGAACAAUUUCUUCAGGGAGCAAGGAGAAUACAACAGACCUUACGAUGGGGAGUACUUCACAUGCUACUUUCAAGUUGCAAACAAGGAGACGGGCACAAUUGUUCUUGUGAUGAAAAUGUUUUUCUAUGAAACUCGAACUUUUGAUGAGAGCAUACUAGUGCUUGCACACACAUUUGAAACACAAGAGUGAUUCCACUGGCAAUCUCAAUAGAAUAUCAACUACUAGAUCUUUUGGUAAAGGACGGCGACCAUCCAUACUAGUGGAAAUAUAAGUAAAAUGAGACAACUUACAAACAUAUUGAAAGAGAACAGAUCUAGAAACAUGCUUUAAUAGAACACGCAGUGCAACGAAGAAGAUCAAGCAGCAUCAUUACCAUGUGAAACAAAAAAGGGGAAGUUGCACAUUUGAUCACUCAGCCACAAAUAUUUACAUCAGCAAGCCAAUACACAUAUAUUAUGGGUAUACAUAUUUUUAAAAAUAUUUUGACAAUUUCUUGUAGAUCAAUUUGGGAGAAAAGAUCCAAAAUAGUUCCUCAUGUUUGGCUUCAGACUCAAAGGAUGGAGUAAUAAGUACUUAUUCAUUGUUAAUUAGAGUUCUCGGGUUUGAGUCUUUUUGGCUAUGAAGUCAUCUGUGUUAGGGAGCGCUUUACCCACAAUGUGAGAUUAUUCAGCACAAAUUCAAAUUUAGUGGGGGAUCUAAUAUGGAUACCAAACACCGAGUGGAAAACCAAAAAUAAAAAUAAAAAUGACCUUAGGGGUCAUUUGAUAGGUGGAUAAAGCUACAUUUAAUACAUGAAUAACAAAGUUAUUUAUGUAUUUAAUUUAUAUAAUAUUUUGUUUGUAAAAUGUUGUAUAAAAGUUAUUCGUGUAUUAACAAAGAUGUUUAUCUCUACGAUAUGUUCCCGCAGGAGAAAGAGUUUGUUAUUUGAAGAGGGGGGGGGGGUAUUUGGAGUCUUUUAGCCACAGUUCGAAGCCCUGGCGUAUCUCUUUUAGCCACGGUUCAAGGCCCCAACAUAUUUUUUUGGCACGGUUCGAGGCCCCAACAUAUCUCUAUUCGCCUUGGUUUGAAUCCUAACAUGUGGUUCAUUUGGGUUCUUCGGGUGCCUUCGCCAUAAUUCAAGUCUGGAGUCGGCCAUUUCAGUUCUUGAAAGCUUUUAAUCUAGCUAAUGUUAUUCAUAGUACUUCCGUGUACUUAUCGGACUUAUGUGAGUCCAAACUUGUUUGAGUUAUAUAUUUACUUUCUAAUUGUGCACGAGUAUACAUACUUUCUGGGCUUAUAGAGGUCCAAUUAGGUUAUAGAUUAUUGCUUUACUUUACUACUUUGUUCUUUUUAGACUCGUGAGCUAUAUAGUUAGACUUUCCGUUAUUGCUUUGUUCAUUUGACCUCUAAUUAUUGUUACUUUCAUAUUCUUCAUAUUGUUUUUACUUUCCAAGCUCAGUCGACCUAUGAUGCCUACUGGGCACCUGUUGUUCUGAUAUUCAUGCUACACUCCACAUCUGCUUUCUUGAUGUAGAUUUGAGCGCCUGCCGACAACAGUGAUUCGAGCCUAAGUAAUGCGGAGAUCUUCUGAGAUGAAGGGUGACCUAAUGGCGUCCUAGUUCGACUUAUCUCCAUAUGUAUAUAAUUUUUUCCUAUCUUUUGUAUUCGAGACAAGUUUAUUAAGUUAGUCAAUAGCAUAGGCUCGAAACUAUGACUAGAACAUUGAGUGCAUGACAUGCACAUCUUACUCCUUAUUUUCCUUAUUCGUACCUAUUUUUGUUCAUACUUUCUAAAUUUCACUAGUACAUUAUCCCUUGUUAAGGAAAAUUAUGUAUCCAGAAUAGUAAAUGGUCUGAUCCACUUAAGAGUGAAGGCUAGUUCAUUGAUUGAUACAUCUAAAUCACAUUAAAUAAUAUAUAUUACAUUUUUGAACUGUUAAACUAGAAACAAGAUUUAGGAUUUUUCAAGUGGACCAAAAUACAGAUAUUGAUGCAGAGUACUUAAAGUCUGUUGCUUGCCGAUACUCUAAAAGUAGUGUAUUUUUGGAGAAUCUAACAUGAGUGGAGAGUACAUGCGCAACUUAGCUUAAAAUGUGUUGGUCCAAAAGGAAUGCCCCUUGAUACCAUAAACAAAAAAUACCAUGUUUGCUUUUUAUUCAAUAAUAGUACAAAGAUGACUGAUCCAAACAAUUUUAAGCUCAAACACAAUGUUAUAAGGUAAGAAAAGAACUAAUGUCACAAUAUUACAGGUAAAUCGUUUUUUUUCUUCUUCCUGUUUUUCAAUUUUUAUCAGUAUAAUAUUAUGUAUUACAAAUCUUUAAGAUCCUCAUCCAUUGGUAUGGUAUAGAAGAAGUGUUCAAUUUGCUCGACUGCAUUAUCCUCACCCUGAGUCUCGUUUCCUCUCUUUAUUGGAGCUAGGCUCUCCUUGUAAUUGAAAACCCAACAGCCAGCCAUGUUAAGGUCCAGCUGAAAUCCAAGAUCUGUAACUUGUCUUGUUUUAGGGUCAUAUAGCACCAGCUGUGAAGUUUCUGUGAUCUCGAAAACCAUCUUAUCGUUAUCCCAGAUGUUGCGAGGCCAAUGAGCAUCUAUAUGAGGUUGUACAGUUAGAACUUUGGACCAAAUUCCCUCUUGUUUCAAUACCCACACAUCAUAUAUGGAUGUCAUAGGUUUGCCUGGGUCACCGGUUAAUAAAGCAAGUGAGUUGCCACGCAGUGUAAGCGUCCCCCAAUGUUCACUUGGAAUAGCUGGGACUUGCGUCUCCCCAAACUGCUCGCUGUCCAUGUCAAAAGUGCGAAUCGUGUAGAUCUCAUCAAGGCCCGUACAAAGCCAAUAAUAAACACCGUUGAGAUAAGUGGCGUCAAGGGGUGCAGAUAAGGUAGAACUGGAAGGGAAUUCAGGAGUAAGGUGUUUCCAUGAAUUGUUGCAUGAGGAAUAGACACAGGCAUAGACACGAUUAUUAGCACCUUGUCCCAGUUCAUCCCAGAACACUCGAAUCCAUACGACCUUAUAAUCUAGAGUCAACAGGUCAAAUCCCAAUCCCAACUGAUGAUCAUGGUGCGAGAAAAAGGCCUCAAUCUCAAAAGGCGCAGGAGGCAGAGACCUGAACUCUCUGGUGGCAGGAUUCUACAAACCCAAGCAGACAUCGUCUUCAUAAAACUUCUUCUGCACUAAGAAUAAGCCAUCAACUGGACCAGCAACACACGUGAAAUCAGUGAUCCUCUGAAGCUGAAGGAGAGUUUUUUGUUCAGGGGUCACACCUGGAACAAUUUCUUCAGGGAGCAAGGAGAAUACAACAGACUUUACGAUGGGGUGUACUUCACGUGCUACUUUCAAGUUGCAAACAAGGAGACGGGCACAAUUGUUCUUGUGAUGAAAAUGUUUUUCUAUGAAACUUGGACUUUUGAUGAGAGCAUACCAGUGCUUGCACACACAUUUGUAACGCAAGAGUGAUUCCACUGACAAUCUCAAUAGAAUAUCAACUACUAGAUCUUCUGGUAAAGGGCGGUGACCAUCCAUACUGGUGGAAAUAUAAGUAAAGUGAGAAAACUUACAAACAUAUUGAAAGAGAACAGAUCUAUAAACAUGCUUUAAUAGAACACACAAUGCAACGAAGAAGAUCAAGCAGCAACAUUACCAUGUGAAACAAAAAAUUGUAAGUUACACAUUUGACCACUCGGCCACAAAUAUUUACAUCAGCAAGCCAAUACACAUAUAUUAUGGGUAUACAUAUUUUUAAAAAUAUUUUGACAAAAUUUCUUGUAGAUCAAUUUGGGAGAAAAGAUCCAAAAUAGUUCUUCAUGUUUGGCUUCAGACUCAAAGUCAUCCCUUCCCUUUCUUUUAUAUGGUGCACUAAAUAGUUUCAUUUUCUGGCAUUCGAAAUCCUUUUUAUUACAGUUCUAUAUUUGAUUCUGUAUCAUAUAUAUAUAUAUAUAUAUUUAUCCCUGUCGUCGCCUUAGAUUCAUUGGCCUGAAUUUGAACAUUUAUGUAGCUCGGAACACUCAAAUAUCCGCCGCACUAUACCUUGAUUGCUUUUGACUACAUCUAUGACCAGUAAGUACAAGAUUGAUUGGGUAUUUGGUUUGAUUUUUGAGUUUGUCAUAUAUAUACAUAUGAAGCACUUUGUUAUUACACGAUAUAUCUUAUGAAUAAUAUAGGCAAUGUUUAUGAAGAAUUAGUUUUUAAAAGUUUUAGUUCAAUAACUUUGAUUAAUAUAUAUACUUGUAUGUGUUUGUAUAUACAUUUAUUUCUGGUAUCUCAGCACAUGUAUCAUACCCCAAAUCCUAAAAUUCAUGUGAUGAAGAAUUUGACUUUUAGAUCCGCAACCGUUUUGGGUCCAAGCAAUUUUCUUGUGUUAGAAUCUAAAAGCUGAUUUUCAUUUCUAAAAUCGUAAGUUAAGAAACGAAAGAAAAAAAAAAUACAGAUUUCCAUCUUAAAAAUUUGAAGUCUUCCCAUUUUCUAGUGAACAAGCGGUGAUUUGCUUUUCUAAUUUUUUCCUCACUUUUAAAAAGUGUCUUUUUCCUUAUAGGAAAUAUUUUCCAAAACAUUUGAUCAACCGAACAUAGCAAAAUUGGAAAACAUGUAUCGAACACACACAGAUAAAUACAGAUUUCCAUUUUAAGUCUUCCCAUUUCUUAGUAAAGAAGUGGUGAUUUACUUUUCUAAUCUUUUUAUUAGGCAAUCAAUGAUUUUCUUUUUGUAUUUUCAACGUGGAAUGUUACUAGUGCAACUUAUUUUCCCUACUUUCAUCAUAGAAGUAAUUUAAUCACUUUUAAGGAGUUUGUUUUCUAUAGAAAAUAGUAUUUUCUAAAACAUUUGACCAACGAAAAAAAAGAGAAAAUUGAAAAACAUGUAUCGAACACAACCUACAUCAAUUUUGAAACAGAAAGAGAGAAAUGAAAAGUGAAAAAUGGUGGAAGGAGACAUAUAUAUGUGCCAUCUAAUUUAAGAGCAAAAGCAUAACGUAGAGAAAGAGAGCAGCAAAACACAAAUACAGAAAAUUGAAAUCUAACCUGAGGAAGAAGAGCCGUAAAUGAGAAAUGAGAGUAGUGAAGAAGAGGCAAAAAGCUUUGUCUAUUUAUACUACCUACUAAUUAAUUUAGGACCAAAAAUUUCCAAAGUAUUUUUUUUCUUAGAUUUUGUGUCUAGUCAAAAGAAUGUCAUUACCACUAAGCCCAUUUUCUCAUCUAAUUAAUUAUUGUCUCUAUUGCAAGAGUUUUAUUUGAGGUGUUUCACACCCUUUAAGAAAAGUAGAUUAAGACAUAAAUUGAACAUACUUUUCCAUUUUUACCCUUAUUAAUUAUUGUCAAAUUUAUUGAAGUCAUCACAUUGAAAAUCCAAAUGAAGGGUAAAAUUGGAAGAAUAUUUUAAAAAUAGUCUUGAAGAUUGAACAAUUAAGUUAAUUUGAAAAAUGGAAAAUGCCUCAAAAAUUCAAUUAAUAUGGAAUGAAGGGAGCAUACUAUAAGUGGGAAGCUCCUAAUCUCAAAGUUGAUACAAAAAUACCUUUUACUAUUUUUUUUAUUAAAUAAAUAAUUAAAGUUAAUUAGACCAAAUUUACAUGAUUAGCUGUUAGAGUUUAUCAUUUCUUAAUGAGGCUUUAAUUGUUAUCCUUUGAGCUUCUUCCAUUUACACUUAUUCAAACAGUAGUUUAAUGCUUCACACUUAAGUUAUGAUUCUUCUACCUUUCAUCCUCCGCAUUAUUCUUUCAUCUUCCGCAUUAAUAAUUUUCUCUUAAAACCUUUUCUUAUUCCUUACAUUGCAAUACUCUCUAAAAGCUUACAAGAAGUUGUCUUAGCCCUAUUAUUCUAUUUGUGUUCUAUCGGUCAGAAAUUUCCCUUUUUCAGGUAUAUCUAUGAUUUAUAUGUAUCUAUAUGUGGUUUAAAUCUCAUUCUUGAGAUGGUAUAUGUUAUUUAAUAUUAAAAUAUAAUUAUCUUUUAAGUUGGAAUUAUUUGUCCCAAUGAAAGAUUUAGUAAUGUACAAUACACUUUUCACUGAAUGUUAUAAACACGGAGAUUAAUUGUUUUAAAUGGAUAUACUUCCGUGCAUAUUGUCAGAGAGUAAUUCCUUUAAUACUUUGUUAAUUUUAUUCUGUUAGAAAUUUAAUUUAUUAUCUACUUGAAUAUUGCAAUUUGGUGUAGAAGCUUUUAGAUUAAAGGACUUUUUAAUCGUUUUUAAACUGAAAGACUACAUCAUGUUUGCAUAAGAAAAAGUUCAAAUGAAAUUCAAAUAAAAAUAUCAAUUUAUCAAUUUUUCGUUCUCCAUAUAUAGGUUUUAUUGACGGGAUGCUAGGUAUCCAAACAACCUCUCUUUUUAAAGAAAUAAAUUUUCUCUAUCUUUUUAUGACAAAUGAAGAAAUUUUCUCUAUCUUUGUUAUGACAAAUGUUAUAGGCUUAGACUUUGAUCUUCAUCUUCAAUUAUUAUUACAUACAAUUUAUAAUUAACUUGCUACAAUGGGCAUAUCACUUACGUUAUUAUAUAUUAAUACUUAGCGAUAAAUUCUUCUUUCUAUAGGUCAUUUUUGAAAAUGCUUAAAGUAAAAAAUGAUAUUAAUAUAAAAAAUUGUGUCGCAUAUAAGUUGAUACAAAAAAACACCAAGAACUAGAUAGAUAACAAUAGAUCUACAAUAAAAGUUUUGAUCAUGAUAAAGAAAUUGAAACAUCGAAGUAGAACAUAUACAAUUAAAAAUAACAUCUAUAAGAAAGUAUUAGGUAAAUAUAAUUAUAUCACAUAUUUACACCUAAUAGUAUUACUAAUGAACUCAUUUUAUACUGUGCAUAUCUAACUAAAUUAUAUGGGUACACUUUUCAAGUUUAGAUGACAUCGAAUAAUCAACUCAAUUUUUUGACUAUUCUUUAAAUUGAGCAUGUAAGUCUUUUCAUAUUAAAUUUUCUAUUUAUCAUUAUACACAUAUUUUAAUAUUAUCUUUAUCUAUAUAUAUACUAAUUUACACCGGAGAUAACACUUAUUAGAGACAUUUUUUGAUUAUCUAGAUUGUUAUAAAUGAUAUUACCAAUUAAAUUAGGAUACAGGUGCAUGACACGUGGCCAGAAACUAGUACAGUAAAACCUCUAUAAAUUAAUACUCGGUAAAUUAAUAAUCUCUCUAAAGUAAUAUUUUUCUCCGGUCCCGACUUGGGCCAAUGAAAAAAAUUCUCAAUUUCGAUAAGAUAAUAAGAUAUAUAUUUCCAGAAGACCCCUAUAUAAAUAUAUGGUCCCAUUGAUAUCAUAAAUUAAUAAUUCUUUAAAAGUACAAAUAUAUCUAAGACAAUUUAGUGAAAUAUGAUUCUAUUGUGUUCUGUUUUUUUCUUAAAAUUUAAAUCUAGUUGAAACUCAUCUCUAACUUUUCUUAUUGCAUCCAAGAGCUCCGAUAUUAUCUUUUCGAACUGCACUAUAAAAUUGUGAAGAGUUCUAGAUGCGAUAAGUGCUUCAUUACGCGCAACUGGUUCCAAAGGUAUAAUAUCAUCUUCAACUUCAUCAACAACAUUGCUUUUUCCGAUGGUAUCUGUAACACCCGUAACUAGAAAGAACUAAAAAGGAAUUUUUAAAAAGAGGAAAUAGUCAUUUUUGGAAAGUAUAAAAAUUUUGAAAUUUUCAAGUGUGUUAAAGUUGAGUUUUUGGUCAACUUCAAAUAACCAUAACUUCUAGCUCAUGAUGAGUUAGGUGUGUUUCCAAAUAUCUUAGAAAUAUCUUGGAAUAAUCUUUCCAACGCCGCCAAGUUUACGCGAUUCCGAGUUCGUAUGAGUGAGUUAUUCCCUUUGGAAGUUGGGCUGUUCAAAUAAUAAUGUCCAAUCCGGAUUUUUAAAGGGUGUUUUGGUCUUUUCCAUACCCUAUUAUUUUAGUUCGUUUUUGGUGAAUUAAUUAAGGGUCAAAACUGAAUUGGUUCAGUUUAGGCAAUUGGAGAUUUAUGCUAGGGUUUUUGGAGAAAGAACGCAAGAGGAGAAAAGAGGAGAAAGAGCAAAGUUCGUCGUUCUUGAAGGUUUAGCUUGUGGAUUUCGACAAGGGUUGAUCCCUAAAGAGGUAUGUGAGUCUUUCAUAGCAUUGAGUUCGUUCACUUACGGGCCAAUCAUGUUUAUUUCAUCGUAAAUUCGUCCUAAAAGAGUUUGAAAGUUGAUGUUCUUGACAUCUGUUCUUGAAUUUGAUAUUAUUCUUGAGUUGAGCUGAAAUUGAGAAGUUUCUGAGAUCAUUACGUCAAAUUAUUGAGUUGGUUGAAGUUAGGAUUUUAGGUACAUUUGCUGGGUAUCUGUAUCUAAAAAGAAUUUGGGAAAAAGAAUCGAAUUUGGGCGAAUUAGGGUUGGAAAAUGAAGAAGAAAAUUCGUCGGGCAAAUCUGGGAUCAUUACGUCAAAUUAUUGAGUUGGUUGAAGUUAGGAUUUUAGGUACAUUUGCUGGGUAUCUGUAUCUAAAAAGAAUUUGGGAAAAAGAAUCGAAUUUGGGCGAAUUAGGGUUGGAAAAUGAAGAAGAAAAUUCGUCGGGCAAAUCUGGGCACUGGUUCCGCGUCGUGGACCUGCUCCCCAGAUUUAAGAAAAGUCAUUUCGCGUUGCGGUCAUUGACCGUUCUGCCUCAAAAAGUAUUUUUGCGACCAAAAUUUAAAUACGCCUCCGCGUCGUGGACUAGUUUCCAGGCAGUGAUUUCUUGAUCAUUUCUCAUGUUUAGCUAUCUAAAAUCAUUCCUAAACAUCAUGAGAUCUUUCCUGUCACAAAUCUCAAUCCUUGAACCCACAAUUCAAUUCAAGGAGCAGUUAAUAGUCAAGAGAAGUUCAUAGAGUCUUCCAAGGGUCUUUUACAAAUAUUUUAACUUUGUNNNNNNNNNNNNNNNNNNNNNNNNNNNNNNNNNNNNNNNNNNNNNNNNNNNNNNNNNNNNNNNNNNNNNNNNNNNNNNNNNNNNNNNNNNNNNNNNNNNNNNNNNNNNNNNNNNNNNNNNNNNNNNNNNNNNNNNNNNNNNNNNNNNNNNNNNNNNNNNNNNNNNNNNNNNNNNNNNNNNNNNNNNNNNNNNNNNNNNNNNNNNNNNNNNNNNNNNNNNNNNNNNNNNNNNNNNNNNNNNNNNNNNNNNNNNNNNNNNNNNNNNNNNNNNNNNNNNNNNNNNNNNNNNNNNNNNNNNNNNNNNNNNNNNNNNNNNNNNNNNNNNNNNNNNNNNNNNNNNNNNNNNNNNNNNNNNNNNNNNNNNNNNNNNNNNNNNNNNNNNNNNNNNNNNNNNNNNNNNNNNNNNNNNNNNNNNNNNNNNNNNNNNNNNNNNNNNNNNNNNNNNNNNNNNNNNNNNNNNNNNNNNNNNNNNNNNNNNNNNNNNNNNNNNNNNNNNNNNNNNNNNNNNNNNNNNNNNNNNNNNNNNNNNNNNNNNNNNNNNNNNNNNNNUUAGAUGAUUCUUUAGUGCUUUUUAGCAUAGACUAGUGGAUCCACUUAGUAGUUUAGGUUCUAUACUCAUGGCAAGGUAUAUGAUGUCCUUGGCAGUGUGAGGCAAAACGUUGUAUCAUCACAAUAUCUCUUAAGUGAUGGUUGUCGGUUAGAGAAACUCCCACACAAGUAUUUUGUAUUCUUAUAUACACAGAUUAUUUGUAAUUUCAUAUAAAAUAGAGUUCAUAUUGUAUCUUUGCAUACAUACAAAGUUAUUAUUGUAUUUCUAGAUACAUAGAGUUUCUUUCCAUGUUUUAAAAGCUUUUCUUUAUAUUGCAUUUAUAUUACUGCUUUAGUUGAGUUGAGACUAGGUUUGUCGUACAUUCCAUGUACUGAUGCCAGUUGGCCUGCAUCGUUUUAUGAUGCAGACGUAGGUAACUAGGAUCAACAUCCAGUGCAUCGUUGAUCCAGUUGAGCACUCAGAGUCUGGUGGUGAGCCUCCUUUGCUUUUCCGGAGGAUCCCCUUUUUAUUGCUUUCAGUAUUUGAUUUCAUUAGGAUGUCGUGGGUCUUGUCCCGACAUCUAUAUCAGUUUUAGAGGCUUCAUAGAUAGACAAUCAGAUGUUAGUUAUUUUAGUAAUUUCAUUGUCAUUAUCUUAUGUUGAGACUUGUGUUUGCCUUAAUGGCCAGUUGAAUGUUCAUUUAUAACAUUCCAGUUUAUUACAUAGAUUUAUCUUUGUUGAGUUAAGUCUUCCGCUGAGUAAGUAAGCCAGGCCAAGGGUUUUCUUGGGGCCAACAAUGGUUCUCGAGUGCUAGCCACGUUUGGGGUGUAGGCUCGGGGUGUGAAAAACUUGGUAUCAGAGCAUAGAGUUCAAGAGUCCUAGGGAGUCUAUGAAGCCGUGUCUGUAGAGUCCUAGUUAUCGGUGUGAAGCGCGCCACAUCUAUAAUAGGAGGAUGCAACAUUUAGGAACUAUCUCACUUCUUUCACAUCCAUUUCGUGCGAUAAAGUUAAUCUCUAUAAAGUUUCUUCCAAUUCGUGGUUGUGCGUGUAUUUCAGAUCAUGCCUCUACGAAGAGCUGUCAAAGGUCGUCCGACUAGAAGGAAGGUUGAACCACAGGAACAAGGGGUACCUAAUGCACUAGAAGUGUAACCCCAAUGAGACGUCACCAAUGCUGAGUUCCUUGAGGCCAUUCAGAUGUUGAGCCAAGUUGUGACCAACCAAGCUGGGCAACAGAGAGAGAAUCUUCAGGAAGUGGCUGAUACUUCUAGAGUUUAUGAGUUCUUAAAGAUGAAUCCUCCAAACUUCACAAGUUCAAGUGUCAGCUUUAGACCUAAGGGGAGAUGACGAGAUGAAAAAUCAAGUCAAGUGUUUGAGAAUAAGAUAGUAAUGAGUCCCAAAAAGUAUGGGAGAUAUCUUUUCAGAAGACUUUUAGUAGUGAAGUGAUGUUAAAAGGAAAAGGCUAAUGAUCCAUGUGCAACAAGUUGAGGAGGACAAGCUGAGGGAUAGAGAAUAGUUUAAGAAUAAGAGGGCGAAGACAUCAGGGAAUGAGUCCGGGUGGCAGAAGAGUAAUGCCAACCGGUCUUCCUUCCAACAGAAACAAAAGUGACCUGCUCCAUCAUCUACUAGUGCACCUGUACCAAGAAACAAAUGUGAGUACAAUAGUCAGAAUUCCCAGAAUUUUAGAGCUAGACCUGCACAUUCUCAAGGCAGUGUUGCAUAAGGAGGUAAUGAGACUCAUGCAUAUGCUAAGUGUGGUCGGAACCACUUAGGGGUGUGACGGGAUGACUCCACUGGUUGCUUCAAGUGUGGUCAAGACAAUCAUUUUAUGAGAGAGUGUCCUGAGAACAGGCAGGGUAAUGGUAAUGGGAGACAAUAGAGCCCAGUCUUCUUCAGUUGCUCCACCAGACAGAGCUGCACCUAGAGGAGCUACUUCAAGUACUGGCGGAGGAGCAAACCACCUAUAUGCUAUCACUAGUCGCCAAGAGCAAGAGGAUUCACCAGAUGUUGUUACUGGUAUGAUCCAAGUCUUUAACUUUGACGUUUACGCUUUGCUAGAUCCAGGAGCGAGUUACCAUUUGUAACUCCAUAUGUUUCUAUGAAUUUCAAUUAUAUUCUGAGCAACUUAGUGUACCCAUCAGUGUUUCUACACCUGCUAGUGAGUUUAUUCUAGUAGAAAAAGUCUAUCGUGAUUGUUCCAUUUUCGUUAAUCACAAGAGUACCAUGACUGAUUUAGUUGAGUUAGACAUGGUAGAUUUUGAUGUCAUUCUAGGUAUGGAUUGGCUUCAUGCCUGUUGUGCCUCAGUUGAUUGUAGAACUCGAGUUAUCAAGUUUCAGUUUCCAAAUGAGCCAGUCUUAGAGUGGAAAAGUAGUUCAACAAUGCCUAAGGGUCGUUUCAUUUCAUACCUUAAGGCAGGAAAGUUAGUUUCCAAGGGGUGUGUCUAUCACUUAGUCCGAGUUAAUGACUCUAGUGUUGAGAUACCUCUUAUUCAGUCAGUUCCAGUAGUAAAAAAGUCUCCAGAAGUCUUUCUAGAUGAUCUACCCGUAGUCCCUCAUGAGAGAGAAAUAGACAUCGGUAUAGACCUUCUUCUAGAUACUCGUCCUACAUCUGUUCUGCCAUACUGAAUGGCACCAGUAGAGUUAAAAGAGUUGGAAGAGCAGUUGAAAGAUCUCCUUGAUAAAGGCUUUAUUCAACCAAGUGUCUCACCUUGGGGAGCUCCGGUCUUAUUUGUGAGAAAGAAAGAUGGUUCCCUUAGGAUGUGUAUAGAUUACCGUCCGUUGAACAAGGUUACCAUCAAGAACAAGUAUCCUCUUCCGAGAAUUGAUGAUUUUUUCGAUCAACUUCAGCGUGCCACCUGUUUCUCUAAGAUAGAUCUCAAAUCUGGCUACCAUCAGUUAAGAGUAAGAGAAUGUGAUAUUCCAAAGACAACUUUCAGAACCCGUUAUGGUCAUUAUGAGUUUCUAGUCAUGUCCUUUUGUUUGACCAAUGUGCCUGCAACAUUCAUGGACCUUAUGAAUAGAGUAUUCAAACCUUAUUUAGAUAUGUUUGUUAUCGUCUUCAUUGAUGACUUACUAAUCUAUUCAAGAAAUGAAGAAGAUCAUGCUAGUCAUCUCAUAAUAGUUCUCCAGACCCUAAAAGAUAAAAAAGUUGUAUGCUAAGUUCUCGAAAUGUGAGUUUUGGCUUGAGUCUGUGGCAUUCUUAAGCCACAUUGUGUCUGGAGAGGGAAUUAAAGUUGAUACUCAGAAAAUUGAGGCAGUACAGAAUUGGCCUAGACCCACAUCUCCAACUGAUAUUAGAAGUUUCUUAGGUUUGGCUGGAUAUUAUUUCAUCCCCUUUGACCAAGUUAACUCAGAAAACAGUUAAGUUUCAAUGGUCUGAAGCUUGUGAGAAAAGCUUUCAGGAGUUGAAAAAGAGGUUGACUACUGCCCCAAUAUUGACCUUACCAGAAGGUACGCAAGGCUUUGUUGUAUAUUGCGAUGCAUCCAGAGUUAGUUUGAGUUGUGUGUUAAUGCAGAAUGGUAAUGUUAUAGCUUAGGCCUCCAGACAGUUGAAAGUUCAUGAGAAGAAUUACCCAACCCAUGAUUUAGAGUUGGCUGCUGUAGUUUUGCUUUGAAAAUAUAGCGUCAUUAUCUUUAUGGUGUUCAUGUGGAUGUGUUCACCAAUCACAAGAGUCUUCAAUAUGUGUUUAGUCGGAAAGAGCUUAAUCUCAGACAAAGGAGGUAGUUAGAAUUACUCAAGGAUUAUGACAUGAGUAUUUUUAUCACCCAAGUAAGGCUAAUGUUGUUGUUGAUGCCUUGAGCAGGUUGUCUAUGGGUAGUACCGCCCAUUUUGAGGAAGAUAAGAACGAGUUAGCAAAAGAGGUGUAUAGACUUGCAUGACUAGGAGUUCGACUAAUGGAUUCCACAGAAGGAGGAGUAGUGGUGAUGAAUGGGGCUGAAUCAUCAUUAGUGUCAGAAGUGAAAGAGAAGCAAGACCAAGAUCCUUUAUUUCUUGAAUUAAAAGGCAAGUGUUCAUAAGCAAAAAAGUGAUGGGUUUUGAGAGAUGGUGUUUUGAGGUAUCAAGGUGGAUUGUGUGAUUGAUUUCAAGGGUAAUUUGGGAUGAUCCCCUACCUCUCAUUAAGUUUGCUUACAACAAUAGUUACCAUUCUAGCAUCCAAAUGGCUCCAUAUGAGGAUCGGAGAAGAUGCAGAUCUCUUAUUGGAUGGUUUGAAGUUGGUGAAGUUGGGUUGAUAGGUCCAGACUUAGUUCAUCAGGCUAUGGAGAAGGUGAAAGUUAUUCAAGAGAAGUUGAAAAUUGUCACGACCCGAGCCUACACCUAGACGUGGCCGGCACUCGAGAACCAUUGCUGGUCCCCAAGCGAACCCUUAUCCUGGCUAACUACAAGCGGAAAACUGAUUCAAGCAUACAAAGCUUAAAACUGAAUAGCAUUCAUGAAACUGAAAUACAAAGCUUUAACUCAAAUGAAAAACUCUGAAUAAAAUAAUAUAUUCAACUCGCCAUAAAAUAGGCAACUUAAGUCUUUAAAACAUUUAAUAAAAUAAAUGAAUAAUACAAACUUCUCAACUAUACUAACUAUCUAUGAAGCCUCUAACUGAUAAAGAUGGAAGUCGGGACAAGACCCACGACCUCUUAACUAAACUAAAAAGUAAAUGAAAUCCUCCGAAAACGAGGAGGCUCACCAUAGCUAACUCGAACUCCCGGAUGUGUCAACGAAUCUCCUGUUGAUGAUCCUGAAUACCUGUGUCUGCAUCAUGAGAAGAUGCAGGCCAAAUGGCUCAGUACGCGGAAUGUACGAGCUUGUAAGAGGAAUUCUAAAGCAUAAACAUAAGCUUGAAACUUGAUAAAAAUGGAAAAUACUUGCCUCUUUUCAAACUUACUCAACUCAAGGAAUACUCAAGGAUACUCAAAACUACUCAAACGUACUCAACUCAGAAGUACUCAAAGAUAAGAUACUCAACUCAAAGAUAUGUUAUUCGACUCUGGGUACUCAACUCUGUAUACUCAACUCAAUAUAAAGCAACAAUAAGAGAUGCAAUAUAUAGAAAGCUUUAUAAAAUAGUAAAAACAACUUAGUUCGUUAAAGAAAAUGCAAUAACAAACUCAACUUUACUUAUACAAUAAAGUAAUGUAGUUUAUGUGGAGUUUCUCCAACCGACAACCACCACUAUGAGCCUAAGUGNNNNNNNNNNNNNNNNNNNNNNNNNNNNNNNNNNNNNNNNNNNNNNNNNNNNNNNNNNNNNNNNNNNNNNNNNNNNNNNNNNNNNNNNNNNNNNNNNNNNNNNNNNNNNNNNNNNNNNNNNNNNNNNNNNNNNNNNNNNNNNNNNNNNNNNNNNNNNNNNNNUUAAUAUGAACUCGCAUCCCCAUAUCGAUGCUCAAUACUACUCCCAAAAAAUAUACUUAGCUCUUAUGUUUUAAAAAACCAAACUUCUUUCUUUGGUUUGAGAUAAUUACUCAAAACUUAGCUUAAAAGCUUUCUUGGAAUCGAUGUUCCCUUUCUUGCUCAAAACUCUUUUGGAAAUCUUAAUUUCCUCUCAUCUUAAAUGUGAAAACAUUACUCUUGGAAAUACUUAGUUCCCAUAUAUUAUUUUAAAGAAAAUGAACUUUACUCUUACUCUUUACUCAACUUCAAAGCUUAAGUCUUAAAACAAAAUUUAAACAUUUGUAAAAGACUUCUUAAAAUAUGGUUCAUGCCGAAUUAUGGACGUGAACGACUCAAUGCAAGGUUUUCAAUAACCAAAGAUAGAACUCAAUACUUGGAACUCAAGAACUUCAUUGUUAAUACUCGUUGCAAAAAUGCUCAACUCAGAGGGUUCAUGCGGAAUUAUGAGCAUGAAUAACCCAACUCAAACUUCAUGGGUAACAUGUAAUAGUCCCAUGAUUAGAACUAUAAUCUCAGAGGGGAUUAGAAACUCAAAACUCAAGACUUAGAACUUGAAGAUACUACUCCUUUCAAAGAUAUUGAACUGAUGGAGUUCAUGCAGAAGUUAUGGGCAUGAACGACUUGACUCAAGGGUCAAAAUAUCAAUAANNNNNNNNNNNNNNNNNNNNNNNNNNNNNNNNNNNNNNNNNNNNNNNNNNNNNNNNNNNNNNNNNNNNNNNNNNNNNNNNNNNNNNNNNNNNNNNNNNNNNNNNNNNNNNNNNNNNNNNNNNNNNACUUUUAACUCUCUCUUGAAUGUGAAUUAUGAAUUCAAGAGUUAUGGCUCAAGCUAUAAAAGAUAUCAUGACGAAAAAAUAGACUCAUGAAUACAUUCUCCUCACUCUCAUGCUCACUACUUGAGUGUUGAAAGAAGUUACUAGAAGUUGUAGAAGACUCCACAAAAGGACUCAAAGGGACUUUCUUAGAAUGUUUGAAAGAAUUCUCAAAACUUAGCUCUCAACUCUACCUUGAAUUUGAAUUAUUAAUUCAAGGUUAUGAUAAUGUUAUGAAUGAUUUCUAGGUGUUUAGAAGUAGUUUAAAGUGUUUAGAAUCAAAGGGGAGUAAAGGUACCAUUUGAAAGAACUCAAACAGACGAAACGAUGAACAACGGGUGGGGGCCGGCGACCCUGGCGCUCUGAGUCACGUGGGGCGCCAGCCCCUAAAGUUCAGAGAGGUGGUUGGGGCUCUCUGGCUGGCGUGACACUCCAGGCCCCAACCCAGAAAAGUUCGACGACUUUCUUUGCUCGUUUUCUCACCCUAAGUCGCCUAAAAUCGAACAGUUUCUUCCCCAAUCACUUGGAUUUAAUUAAUUAACAUUAAUACACUCUCAUAUACUCAAAACAACACUCAAAUUACUAAAUUUCAUUUGAAGAAAUCAUCAAAACCCCAACACAACAAGAUUUAGAAUGAACUUCAAGAACACCUAUCAAGAACUCAAAUCUUUCAACUUCAAGAAUGAAAUUUGGGCUGAAAAUAACAUGUUUGGAGUGUGGGUGAACAAACCCAACAUUAUGGAAGCUUACAUACCUCUUAGGGAUCAAACCCAUGGCAAAAAUCUGCAACAAGACGGAAGAAUCUCGACGAACGCUUGAUCCUCUCCUCUUUUCUCUUCUUUUCUCUUCUUGAACUCUCAACUAAAACCCUAGGCAUAAACUAGGAUUAUAAAACUGAACAUAAUCAAAUUAUACCCCUAAAAUAUUACUAAAAACGAAUUAAAUCUGAUUGGGUAAGGAAAAGACCAAAAUACCCCUUACUAUUUUCGACUAACUUUCCUUAACUGGGUUGCCUAACUUCAAAAGGUCAUAUCUCACUCAUCCAAACUCGAAACUUAGAAAACUCGUUGGCGUUGGAAAGAUAAUUCAAAGAUAUUUCCUACGGUAUCUGGUAGCACACCUAACGCAUCCUGAGCUAGGAUUUAUGGUCGUUUGAAGUCGACCCAAAACUCAUACUUAAGCAUAACUUGCAAAAUUUCAGAUUUUGCUAUUUCCAAGUUUGAACUUUUUUGGAACUCAAGGUGCUACAUCCAGUGACCUUAAAACUUAAGAAAUUUUUAAUUCCUUGGAAAAAUCUCACUUACUACGAUGAACGGUUCGAGUCUUAGUUCAAUUUUUUUUUUGGGUGUUACAAAAACAGCGUAGAGUCCUCAGAAAUCCUACAUUGAUGUUAGGAGAAAGAAGUUAGAGUUCGAAGUAGAUGAUUGGGUCUACUUGAAAGUUUCACCCAUGAAGGGUUUUAUGACAUUUGGUAAGAAGGGGAAGCUUAGCCCCCGGUAUAUUGGUCCUUACAGAAUAUCCAAGAGAUUCGCAAUGUAGCUUAUGAGUUGGAGCUACCUCAAGAGUUAGCAGCGGUUCAUUCGAUUUUUCACGUCUCCAUGUUGAAAAAGUGCAUGGGCGAUCCUUCUUUGAUCAUACCAACCGAAGAUAUUGGGAUCAAGGAUAGCUUAUCUUAUGACGAGAUUCCUAUUCAGAUUCUAGAUCGCCAAGUUCACAAGUUGAGAACAAAAUAGGUAGCAUCAGUCAAAGUCUUUUGGUGGAAUCAAUUUGUUGAGGAAACUACUUGGGAAUCGGAGGAGGAUAUGAAGAAGAGAUAGCCACAUCUCUUCGAAUCAGGAGAAAUUCCAGAACAAGGUACUAAUUCAUUUCUUAGUACUCUUUAACUUAUGAGAUUGCAUGUUGUAGUUGCAUUGGUUGUUGGCUGUUUGAACUGAAUGUUAGAUGUUAUGCCCUUAACUUACUAAGAGUAAGCUCAUUCGAGGAUGAAUGUUCCCAAGGGUGAGAUAUUGUAACACCCGGUAACUAGAAAGAACUAAAAAGCAAAUAGUCAUUUUUGGAAAGCAUAAAAAUCUCGAAAUAUUUAAGUGUGUUAAAGUUGAGUUUUUGGUCAAAUUCAAAUGACCAUAACUUCUAGCUCAGGAUGAGUUAAGUGUGUUUCCAGAUAUCUUAGGAAAUAUAUUGGAAUAAUCUUUCCAACGCUGCCGAGUUUACGCAAUUCUGAGUUCGUAUUAGUGAGUUAUGCCCUUUGGAAGUUGGGCUGUUCAAAUAAGGAAAUGUCCAAUCCAGAUUUUUAAAGGGUGUUUUGGUCUUUUCCAUACCAUAUUAUUUUAAUUCAUUUUUGGUGAAUUAAUUAGGGGUCAAAACUGAAUUGGUUCAGUUUAGGCAAUUGGAGAUUUACGCUAGGGUUUUUGGAGAAUGAACGCAAGAGGAGAAAAGAGGAGAAAGAGAAAAGUUCGUCGUUCUUGAAGGUUUUACUUGUGGAUUUCGACAAGGGUUGAUCCCUAAAGAGGUAUGUGAGUCUUUCAUAGCAUUGAGUUCGUUCACCUACGCGCCAAUCAUGUUUAUUUCAGCGUAAAUUCGUCCUAAAAGAGUUUGAAAGUUGAUGUUCUUGACAUCUAUUCUAGAAUUUGAUAUUGUUCUUGAGUUGGGCUGAAAUUGAGAAGUUUCUAAGAUCAUUACGUCAAAUUAUUGAGUUGGUUGAAGUUAGGUUCUUAGGUUUAGGUACAUUUGCUGGGUAUCUGUAUCUAAAAAGAAUUUGGGAAAAAGAACCGAGUUUGGGCGAAUUGGGGCUGGAAAACGAAGAAGAAAAUUCGUCAGGAAAAUCAGGGCACUGGCUCCGCAUCGCGGACCUGCUCCCCAGAUUUGGGAAAAGUCAUUUCGCGUCGCGGAGCGGUCACAGACCGUUCUGCCUCAAAAAGUAUUUUUGCGACCAAAAUUUAAAUACACCUCGACGUCGUGGACUAGUUUCCAGGCAGUGAUUUCUUGAUCAUUUAUCAUGUUUAGCUAUCUAAAAUCAUUCCUAAGUAUCAUGAGAUCUUUUCUAUCAAAAAUCUCAAUCCUUGAACCUAUAAUUCAAUUCAAGGACCAGUUAAGAGUUAAGUCAAGAGAAGUUAAGAGUCAAGUCAAGAGAAGUUCAUAGAGUUUUCCAAGGGUCUUUUACAAAUGUUUUAACUUUGUUUUAAGACUUGAGUUUGAGUUGAGUAAAGUUUGAAGUUCAUUUCUUCAAAAGAGUAUAUCGGGACUAUGUAUUUCCAAAGAGUAAAAUGUUUUUCACAUUUUAAAGAAGAAAUGAAACUUUGAUUUCCAAAAGAGCCUUUGAGCUAGUUUUCAGUGAAGAGCCUUUGAGUUAGUUUUCAGUUUAAAGAGUAAAUGCUUUCACAAUAAAGCAAGAGAGGAAACUUAGAUUUUCAAGAUAGCCUUUGAGCUCAGUUUUUGAGCAAUUAUCUCAAAUCACAGAAAGAAGUAUGUUUUUUAAAACAUAAGAGCUAGUAUUAUUUUGGGAGUAGUAUUGAGCACCGAUAUGGGGUAGAGUUCAGACAACUCACAACCCCCAUAAACCAUGUAGCCACCAUGGGUAGAAAAGGGUCCUAUUGUUUAGAUGAUUCCUUGAUGCUUUUUAGUAUAGACUAGUAGAUCCACUUAGUAGUUCAGGUUCUAUACUCAUGGCUAAGUUUAGGACGGCCCUGGCAGAGUGAGGCAAAACGCUGUAUCAUCACAAUAUCUCUUAAGUGAUGGUUGUCGGUUAGAGAAACUCUACAAUAGUAUUUUGUAUUCUUUUAUACACAGAUUAUUUGUAUUUUCAUAUACAAACAGAGUUCAUAUUGUAUCUUUGCAUACAUGCAAAAUUAUUAUUGUAUUCCUAGAUACACAAAGUUGCUUUCCAUGUUUUAAAAUCUUUUAUUUAUAUUGCAUUUAUAUUACUGCUUUAUAUUGAAAUCAAUUCAAUUCAGUUGAGUUGAGACCAUGUUUGUUUCUUCAGUUCCUUUUAAGCUUAUGUCUUGUUUUAGAUUUCCCCUCGCAUACUCGUACAUUCAAUGUACUGAUGCCAGUUGGCCUGCAUCUUUUCAUGAUGCAGACGCAUGUAACUAGGAUCAACAUCCAGCGCAUCGUUGAUCCAGUUGAGCACUCAGAGUCUAUGCUAAAAUGCACUUAAGGAAUCAUCUAAAAAGUAUGAUCUUUUACUAUCCAUGAUGGCUACAUGGUUUAUGGAGACGUGAGUUAUCUGAACUCAAACUCGUCCCUAUAUCGGUGCUCAAUAUUACUCCCAAAAUACUCAGCUCAUAUGUUUAAAAACAUAACUUUUUCUGUGGUUUGAGAUAACUACUCAAAAAUCUAUUCUUAAAAGAGAUGAUACUCAAACUGCUCAAAACUCUUUUGAAAAUAUCUGUUUCCUCUCAUCUUAAAUGUGAAAACAUUUACUCUUGGGAAUACUUAGUUGCCAUAUAAUCUUUGAAGAAAUAAACUUUACUCUUACUCUUUACUAAACUCAAAGCUUAAGUCUUAAAACAAAGUUAAAACGUUUGUAAAAGACUUCUUAAAAUAUGGUUCAUGCCGAAUUAUGGACAUGAUGGACAUGGAUGACUCAAUGCAAGGUUUUCACUAACCAUAGAUAAAACUCAAUACUUGGAACUCAAGAACUUCAAUGAUACUGCUCAUUUCAAGAAUGCUUAACUUAGAGGGUUCAUGCAGAAUUAUGAGUAUGAACUACUCAACUCAAGGACUCAAGGACUCAAAGAUACUUCUCAUCUGAAGACAGGAACUCAACACUUAAAGGCUUAGAACUUGAAGAUACCACUUCUCUGAANNNNNNNNNNNNNNNNNNNNNNNNNNNNNNNNNNNNNNNNNNNNNNNNNNNNNNNNNNNNNNNNNNNNNNNNNNNNNNNNNNNNNNNNNNNNNUUAGGAACUCAAUACUCAAGACUUAGAACUUGAAAAUACUACUCCUCUCAAUGAUGCUCAAUUUAUGGAGUUCAUGUGGAAUUAUGGGCAUGAAUGACUCCCAAUAACGAACUAAUGUAUACGACUUUUCUCCAUACUUACUUAUUCAAAACUUAACUCAAAUUGAUGGUGGAUCUAAAAGGAUUCACAAUUGAAAUCAAAGUCUUCCUUGAACUCUACUCUUUAACUCCUCUUGAAUGUGAAUUAUGAAUUCAAGAGUUAUGGUUCAUGAUAUGUAGGAUAUAAAUGAUAGUGUAGACUCAUGAAUACAUUCUCCUCACUCUCAUGCUCACUUACUUGAGUCUUGAAAUAAGUUAUUAGAAAUUGAAGAAGACUCCUCAAAAGGACUCUCUCAAAAUGAUUAAAAAAACUCUCAAGACUUAACUCUCAACUUUACCUUGAAUUUGAAUUAUGAAUUCAAGGUUAUGAUUCAUGUUAUGAAUGAUUUCUAAGUGUUUAGAAGUAGUUUAGAGUGAUUAGAAUUAAAGGGAGUGAAGGUUCACUUAAAAGGGGCUCAAACGGGACAACCGACGGAAAAUGAGUUGGGGCAACCAACCCUGGCGCGUUCCGGGCGCAGGGAGCCAGCCCCUAACUUCAGAGGCUGCAUAUGGGUGCACUGCAGGGGCGCUGCCCCAGCCCCUUGGUCGCAUUUGGGGCGCGCCACCCUAGCCUCUCCCCAGGUCAAGUUCGACGAAUUUUGCCUCUCGUUUUCUGAUCCUAAAUCACUUUUAAUCGAUUUAUUUUCUCAAGUUUCCCUUAAAUUCAAUUACUGAACCUAAGUACACACUAAUCCACUCAAAACAAUCACUUUCAUCUCGAGAAAUCAUCAAAACCCCAACAAGACAAGAUUUAGAAUGAACUUCAAGAACACUUAUCAAGAACUUAAAUCCUUUAACUUUUGAGAGUGAAAUUGCGCUGAAAGUAACAUGUUUGGCGUGUGAGUAAACAAACCCAAUAUUAUGAAAGCUUACAUACCUCUUAGGGAUCAAACCCAUGGCGAGAAUCCGCAACAACACGCAAGAAUCUUGACGAACGCUUGAUCCUCUCCUUUUUUCUCUUCUUUUCUCUUCUUGAACUCUCAACUAAAACCCUAGGUGUAUUUUAGGAUUAUAAAACUGAACCUAAUCAGAUUAGACCCCUAAAACAUUACUAAAAAAUGAAUCAAAUUUGAUUGGGUAAGGAAAAGACCAAAAUACCCCUCUAAAAUUUGAUUUUGAGUUUCCUUAUCUAGACAUCCCAACUUCUAAUGGCCAUAUCUCCCUCAUACGAACUUCAAAUUGAGUAAACUCGGUGGCGUUGGAAAGAUAAUUCAAAAAUAUUUCCUAAGGUAUCUGGUAGCACACCUAAAUCAUCUUGAGCUAGGUGUUAUGGUCGUUUGAAGUCGACCCAAAACUCAUACUUAACUUAACUUGCAAAAUUUCAGAUUUUGCUAUUUCCAAUUUAGUUCUUAUUGGAACUCAAGGUGCUACAUAUAGUUACCUUGACACUUAAAGAAAAUUUUAAUUUCUUGAUUAAAUCUCACUCACUACGAAGAACGGUUUAGGUCUUAGUUCGAAAAUUUUUCUGGGGUGUUACAAAAUUCUUCUUCAAUAAUUGAAUCUAUUAGUUAGUGAACUCGAGUAAAUGGCUAAAAACAUCCCUGAACUAUACCUCAAACUCAAACUACAUCCGUGUAUCAUUACAUUGAACAAAAAACAUCCUUCAACUAUCUAAAAAACUGCAAGUUACAUCCUUAUGUUAACUUUCUAUCAAGAAACUAAUCACUUUAAGUAGAAGCACACAACAUUCCGAUAAAGGCAAACAAUUUUGCCCACUCACUGAUCUUCUCUAUCAAGUAGUAAACUAGUAAUCAUAUUAAAAGGUAUUCUAUGACUAGCAUUAUUGUAGGAAUAUUAAUUAAUUAAGGCCUAAAGAUUUAUAACUUGGGACUUGUUCAACUUUGGUUUGUCCCUUUUUUAAUUUUACUGAGCUUGUUAUUAUGUUGUUAGCUUUUCUAUCAAGACUCUUAUUGAUCCCAUGCUAUUUCGAGUUUGCUUUAUUUUUUCAUUUUCUAAUUAGUACGUUACUCCUCCAACAACAUUCAUCAAAUUUCCAAUACUCUCAACUAAUUAAAUGAAAACUUUAAACAUAAAAAUCAGAUGUAAACCUUGCAGAUUUGUCUUUGGACAUAAAAAUAAUAAUUAUGUGAUACUAAAAUACAAGGAUUUGAACUCUUAAUUAGUGUGUGUUUUGGUGCUGGGAAAAAUAAUUUUUAAAAAUAUAUUUUCAAUUUUUCAUAUUUAAUUGACCAAAGUUUUUGAAAAAUAUUUUAUCUAAGAAGACAAGUUCUUAAAAUAUAAAAAAAAAUGAGUUGUAAUAUCGACGUAGGAAAAAAAGCUCCACAAAUGACAUUUCAAAUUCAUUCACAAAUCCUUUUAGCAAAGACAAUGUUUGUUCUAUGUUUAAGAAGACAGUGAGGGGACAAAAUCUCUUUUCAUUAGGAGAUGGUCGCUAUAUUUUUGAUAGAAAAUUAAGGAGGGAUGUAACUUGUAACUUUCAAAAUAGUUCAGCGAUGGUUUUUGUUCACAAUAAUAAUAUAAGGAUGUAGUUUGAGUUUAAGGUAUACUUAAAGGAUGUUUUUGGCCAUUUACUCUAGUGAACUCCUCCAUUAAUGACUAGUCUAAAGUUAGAUUCUUGUAACUUUCAAUUUUGAUUUUGAUUUUGAACUACCAACAAAUUAUCAAAGUGAUGAAAAGUAUGUGAUUUGGUGGUGGGAAUUGACUUAGUGAUGAAAACCUGAUGAGGGCGGUGACCUGGUGGUUGAGGUGAGCCACCGCUGAUGUUUAGUAUGGAUCUGAUGAUGAAGAUUGAAGGGAAGAGAUAAAGAAGGUAACAAAUAAAUAAAAGGAAACAUAUUUUUAAAAAAGUAGAAUAUUAAUAUAAAUUAAAUAAAAUAUUUAUGAAGUUAAUAUUCUAAUUAUUUUUUGAUCUCUCACUCUCCCAAAGAGAGUGAACUAUACCUUCUUUGCCACAUCAACAUUUAGGGAGCAAAUAACUCCAUUUUAAAAUAGUCCAGGGGUGUAAUAGGACUCUUGUAAAGUAUGAGUGUGUAGUUGGGAAUCCGACUAUUGGUUGGGGGCAGUGGCGGAGCCAGAAAUUUUAAUAAUGGGGUUCAAAAUCUGAGAAGUAAACACACGAACUAGUGGAAGAGGGUUCGACAUCUAUUAUACAUACAUAAAAAAUAAUUUUAACCAUGUAUAAAUAGUAAUAUUUUUCGUCGAGGGGGUUCGGAUGAACCCCUUCAUUACAUGCUGCCUCCGCCCCUGGUUGGGGGGCUUUUGGCCAUUUUCUCUUCUUUUAUAUGGUGCACUAAGUUUCAAGUGUUAGUGCACUUUUAGUCUCUUUAUUAACAUCCAUUUACUCAUUAACGUUUUGAUCGAUCCUUUACACAUCCAUUUAUGGCCUCCGCUGUAUACGUUCUGGUACAAAACAAAUUAAUUCUUAGAUUUAUCUUAGCAAUUGCAGAUGAGUCUUCAUUUAUACUUGUUUUAUUUUUUGGCUCUGCAUCUUCAUUGUUUGGUGUGCACCAUUAAAGAUUUGCUAAUUCUUUAACUUUCUCCUCUAUUUUCCAUACACAAUUAAUAGGCUGACUAAGCCUUUGGGUUUUUCCUGAAUAAAAGUUUCUUGUGCUUUGCCUAUAUGUAUAUCUGGAGCAUAACCAAAGAAUAAAAUAAAAACAAGAAAAAAGGAAAAAUAUAAUGCAUGUAUCAAUAUCUCAAAUUAGAGUCGGAUAAAGGGUGUGUUCUAAUCAAAUUUUUUGGAAAAGAUUUUGUUUAGGAAAACAAGUUUCAUACGUGACACUUCAAAUGAAAAAAAAGACUUUGUUUAGGAAGUAGGGAAAACAAGUUUCAUAUGUGACAUUUCAAUUGAUUAUAUUGUCCGCCCACUCUCUAAGACACCACAUCUUCACCUCAGUACUCCCAUAGCUUCCAUACCCACUACCCUACACAUCUACCCUACCUCCGUCUCUCAUAGUAUUUGUCUAGAUUAUACGUAAAUGCUUUUAGAAUAACCAGCCAAAUAGAGUCAACAGGAGGAGACUAGUAAAGAAGUAGUCAUGUGGUUUUCUAGUCUUUUCAUUAACUAGUCAAUAGUUAUUCUUGAGCUACAUAUCAAGUUAGCAUAUAGAGCAAUUUUGCAGGUAAUUUAAGGAGCAUUAAACAUUAAUUAUCCUUUUCUACUAUUAUCAAUCUACAAAUCCUUGGAAAUGGAACAAUUUUAACUUACCCAAUAUUGAAAUGUGAAAGAUGGACAGAAGUAAAAAGAAUUAGCGUAACAAUGGCAGCAAAACCCUAUAUCCCCAAAUAGGACAAAUUCAGAUUCAGAUUUAAAAAAAUAAUCAGAAAUCUAACCUUAUAAGCUGAUGAAGUAGAAGUGGCAAAAAGAGAUACUGGAUUGAUUGAGUGGUGUUGUAGAAAUACCUCAACAGUUGACUACUUCCUCACAUUUCUUUUGUCAUUAUAUUUUAUACAACUCCUUUUAAUUCCUUUUAUCUAAGUUUUUAAUUAUGCGGUGGAGUAAUAAGUACUUAUUCAUAUUUAGUUAGAGGUUUCGGAUUUGAGUCUUUUUGGCUAUAAAAGGAUCUUUGUUAGGGAGUGCUUUACCCAUAAUUUGAGAUUUUUUGGCACAAAUUCAAAUUUAGUGAGGCUCUAAUUUGGAUAUCGAACACUGAGUGGAAAACCAAAAAAAGAAAAAUUACCAUAGGGCUCAUUUGGUAGGUGGAUAAAGCUACAUCUACAUGGUUUUUCAUGUAUUUAAUUUAUAUAAUGUUUUGUUGGUAGAAUGUUGUAUAAAAGUUAUUCAUGUAUUAACAAAGAUGUUUCUCUCUACGAUAUGUUCCCGCAAGAGAAAGAGUUUGUUAUUUGAGGGGGGGGGGUUAUUUGGAGUCUUUUAACCACAAUUUGAAGCCUCGACAUAUCUCUUUUAUCCAUGGUUCAAGGCCCCGACGUAUUUUUUUUGCCACGGUUCGAGGCCCCAACAUAUCUCUAUUCGCCUUGGUUCAAAUCCUAACAUGUGGUUCAUUUGGGUUCUUCGGGGUGCCUUCACCAAAGUUCAAGUCUGGAAUCAGCCAUUGCAGUUCUUGAAAGCUUUUAAUGUAGCUAGUGUUAUUCAUAGUACUUCUGUGUACUUAUCAGACCUAAGUGAAUCCAAACUCGUUUGAGUUAUUUACUUUCCAAUUGCGCACGAAUAUACGUACUUGCUGGGCUUAUAGGGUCCAGUUAGGUUAUAGAUAAUUGUUUUACUUUACUACUUCGUUCUAUCCACACUUGUGAGCUAUAUAGUUAGAUUUUCUGUUAUUGCUUUGUUCAUUUUACCUCUAAUUACCGUUACUUUCAUAUUGUUUUUACUUUCCAAGUUUAGUCAAACUAUGAUGCCUACUCGACACAUGUUGUUUUGAUAUUCAUGCUACACUCCACAUCUGUUUUCUUGAUGUAGAUUUGAGCACCUGCUGAUAACGGUGAUUCGAGCCUAAGUAAUGCGAAGAUCUUCUGAGAUGAAGGGUGAGUUGUUGGCUUCCUAGUUCGACUUAUCUCCAUAUGUAUAUAGUUUUUUACCUGUCUUUUGUAUUCGAGACAAGUAUAUUAAUUAGUAAGUCAAUAGCAUAGGCUCUAAACUAUGACUAAAACAUUGAGUGCAUGACAUGCACAUCUUACUCCUUAUUUUCCUUAUUCAGGGCCGUCUUAACCUCUAGGCCACUAAAGCCAUCGCUUGGGGUCCCAUAUAUUUUGGGUCCCCCAUUUUAAAAAAACAAUUACUUAUAUAUGUUAUUUUUUUAAAAAUAAAUUAUAUGUACUAUUAGCGUUAUGAUUUAUGCUAAAGAAAUUGCAUAUGAGAUGAAAAUAUACCUUAAUUUCGUAAGAAACGGUUUGAUGAAAAUAUGGAUAGAGAAAUCACAAAGUCCCUUGAAUAAUCUUUUAGUGUUUAUUGAUUUAUAUAUGUAGGGUAGAUCAAACUAUUUUUUCAUUUCAAAAUAGAUUCGAACCAAUUGAAGCAUAUAUAUGGAAAUAUUUUUGAUUUCUUAUUUAGUAGUAAAAUGUUGAGAUCACUAGAUGAUGAAUUUAAAAAAUAUUGUCUUAACCUUGAACUUUCUUUAACAUGUAAUAGUUAUUCUGAUAUUGAUGGUUUAAAUUUAUUUUUUGAAUUAAAAGUGUUAAGGGAAAUAAUACAAAUAGAAGAUAAUGAUCUAACAAAAAUACUCAAUCAAAUAAAAAGACUUGAUUCUUUUUCAAAUACACAUAUUGCUUAUAGAAUAAUGUUAACAGUUCAUGUAACCGUUACCUCAGCCGAAAGAAGUUUUUUCGAAAUUAAAAUUGAUUAAAUCUUCUUUAAGAUGAACAAUGUCUCAAGAGAGAUUGAAUGAAUUAGCUAUAUUACCAUUUGAAAAAUAAUUAUUAAAACAAAUUGAUUAUGAAACAGUACCUAUUGACUUCGCAUCUAAAGUAGCUAGAAAAGAAGAUUUUAAAUAAAAGUAUAUAGGAUGAAAAAAAUAAAAUAUUAGGGCCCCUCUAUUCAGUUUUCCUUUAGGCCCCUAAUGUUGUUGAGUCGGCCUGGUUAUUCGUACCUAUUUUUUUCAUACUUUCUAACUUCACUAGUACAUUAUCAUUUGUUAAGGAAAAUUAUGUAAACUGAAUAGUAGAUGGCCUGAUCCACUUAUGAGUGAGUGCUAGUUCAUUGAUUGAUACAACUAAUUCACAUUAAAUAAUAUAUAUUACAUUUUUGAACUGUUAAACUAGAAAUAAGAUUAAGGAUAAGGGAACUCUGUAUUAACUUCACUUUUCCUUAUUAGUAUCAAAAGUUUCUCGUUUAGGAAAUAGGAAGUUUUGAAGGACUAAUAUUAUCCUUUCUUUUAAAUUGAACUCUAUCUAAUGGCUGAUUCUAUUUAUGAAUCAAUCCCUUAGGUGCAUUAUUUCCAUAGGUUCCAACAUUGGUAACAAAAUCUAGCUUUCUCGCUUGAAUUGGCAUAAUUCUAUACUUCCCUCAUCUUAUCUAUCACGGAGGCCGCUCCCACCUUAUCCCUUAUAUCCUCAUUCUAAUCUUUAUCACUCCGAGUAUGAACACGCAUCCACCUCAAUAUCCAUAUCUCUGCAACAUGCAUCUUCUAGACAUGAGAGUUCUUGACUGGCCAACUCUCAUUUCCAUACAACAAUUUACAUACACACUCUAUAUAAAUACACACAUACAUAUAUUGGUGGAAAAAUCAUCAAUAGAUGAAACUUAAACAAUACUCUCUCUAUCUCAAUUAAUGUGACAAUUGGAUUUUAUCUUUUAAAUUGUUAAUUAUUGUGAUUUACCUUUUCACAUAAUUUUCAAAUAUAUAAAUUUUAUAUAAAAAAAUUUAAAGCUUCUGUAUCCGAAUUUACUGUCAAAUUAUAGAAGUUUGAAUCUCAAAAUUUCAACUAAUGCCACGUAAAUUAAAUCAACCCUAACACUCAAAAAAGCUACAAAUAAUUCAAACAUAGAAAGUAAAAAAGAAGUAGAAAAAACCUUGAUAUAUAUAUAUAUAUAAAUAAAUUAUAUAUUGAUUUGUAAUUGGUUGCUGUCACUUCUGAGCAAAAUCGUGCACACUCAAUGGAUGCUGUUACAAGUAAUAUUGGUGUACAAAUAACUACCAAAAACAAAGGGAAAAUGCCAAGAGUUGGGGUUGAUGCAUCGCGAGUUGGUUCAGGCCAAAAAAUAAUGGAUUCAGGACACAAACUAAUGGAUACAUCUGAUGUUGAAGAUGCUGAAGAUUCUGGACAGCAUGUUUUGCAAGUUGAAACCAAGAAUGCAACUAAAAAUUGGACACUAGUUGCACACAAAAAUUCAACUAGUAAUCGGAGCCUUUCCCGACUAAUCAAAAUAAUUCUCCAUGUAGUGAAAAGGGUGCGACUGAAAAUUUUCAUGACAGUGAGAAGAGGCAAGAUAUUAGUAAUGCCUCAAGAUACCUAUUUUGUUCGAAUAGCUUUGAUGCUUUAUCAAAGACUACUGGAAAGAAAGUAAAGUUAACAGAGAAUGACAACGAUUUGAUCUAAGAAAAGCAAGUCUCACCACCUACUUUGAAUAGCAAAUUAAGUCCAAAAGCUCCCAUAUUUGUGCCUAAAUGCGUGAUUGUAAAGAAGAAUGAGACAAGGGCCUUAGUGUCAGAUACAAUUGAUUUGAGCGAGGAUUCUCUUGAUGAAGAUGAGGAAGACAAUAUGCUUGAUUUGGGCGAGGAUUCUCUUGAUGAAGAUGAGGAAGAUAUGCUGGACAUAUGCUUUGACAGAGUGGCUAGGGAAGGAGAUAUAUCACCUCGGCAACAAAUAAGUAGAAGCAACAAAAGCAAAAAGAAGACACAUGGAAGGCAACAUAGUUGAGACGGUAAAAUGACUGAGGAGUUUGUUCCAAGGCACCUACCAAUGCGACAAGCAAAGCAGAACCAUUUGACAGUAUCAAUUGGUUCAACAAGAUCCAAUAAAUCCAUAAAGAAAGUAUGAAUUAUCAAGUGUUGUUGGAUAAGUUUGAAGAAGAAGACAACAGAAAAAUACUUUAAGUUACUUUUGAUGGGCAAUCAAUCUUUUUUAAUUCAUGCGUUUGUAAUUGAAAGUUUGAGGUUGAUAACUCAACUUUCUUCUUGAUUGACAUAUUUUUACAUUAUUUAAGCAUCCUAGUUUGUAAUAUCAUCAUGGAGUGUAUUACAAACUUUGUGGUGAUCAGAAAAUACUUAGUUCUCUCUAGCUCUUAUUUUCUUCAUGCUUGUUAGGUAGUAGACGUUAGGUACUUCAUUAGGAUUAGUACGGUAAGGCCUACCCCCUUGCUUGCACUUAUCCCUAUUGAUUUUUUUUAUGUUUAAUAAAAGGCCACUAGACACUGUCUAGUGGUAAAUUUGCGGGAAAAAAAAACCUUGAGAUAAUAUGCCUUGCGAAUUUCCUCUUGAGAUGCUAAAAGACUUACAUCAAGAACAUCAUAAUACUCUGUCUCUUUAACCAUUUUCUUUUCUUUUUCCAAAAUCCCAAUUAACAAAAAACUACUCUUUUACCUCUUCCAAUACUCUGAUUACCUUUUUUUGCGCUUGUAAAAUUUUAAAGUAGGAGCGGAAAACCAUUUGACUGUAAGGAAAAGAAACAAGCCGUGUUGAGAAUUGAUUUAAAAUCUUUUGUUUAAGUUUACUGCUUAGGAUAAGUUUUACAGUAGGUUGAAUAAGUCUUUUACUAGAAUUGAAAUAGUCUUUAUUAGUUACUACUUUUCUGGUAGUAUUUAGUCAAGUGGCGUCUAUUAUCUUUCUGAGUUUGUUAGCCUAUAAAAGGCGUAGAGACUUCUAGUUAAUAAUCUCUCUUCUUCCUACAAGCCAAACAAAAAAAAUGAUGAGUGAUCCAAACAAUUUUAAGCUCAAACACAAUGUUAUAAGAAGGUAAGAUAAGAAAUAAUGUCACAAUAUUACAGGUAAAUCGUUUUCUUUUUCCUGUUUUUCAAUUUUUAUCACUAUAAUAUUAUGUAUGCCAAAUCUCUAAGAUGAGGCCUCAUCCAUUGGUAUGGUAUAGAAGUAGCGUUCAAUUUGCUCGACUGCAUUAUCCUCGCCCUGAGUCUCGUUUCCUCUCUUUAUUGGAACUAGGCUCUCCUUGUAAUUGAAAACCCAACAGCCAGCAAUGAAAAGGUCCAGCUGAAAUCCAAGAUCUGUAACUUGCCUUGUUUUAGGGUCAUAUAGCACCAGCUGUGAAGUUUCUGUGAUCUCGAAAACCAUCUUAUCGUUAUCCCAGAUGUUGAGAGGCCAAUGAGCAUCUAUAUGAGGUUGAAUAGUAAGAACUUUGGACCAAUUUCCCUCUUGUUUCAUUACCCACACAUUGUAUAUGGAUGUCAUUGGUUUGCCAGGGUCACCGGUUAACAUAGCAAGUAAGCCGCCAUGCAAUGUAAGUGUCCCCCAAUGUUCACUUGGAAUAUGUGGGACUUGUAUCUCCCCAAACUGUUCGCUGUCCAUGUCAAAAGAGCGAAUCGUGUAGAUAUCAUCAAGGCCCCUACAAAGCCAAUAAUAAACCCUGUUGAGAUAAGUGGCAUCAAGGGGUGCAGACAAG
rnacentral:lncRNA from 1 species